GGCGAGAGAGAGGCUGGAGCUCAAGAAGGCCGACCUUGUCACGCCAGGCGCCUUUGACGAUAUUGUUCAAGGCUGCCAUGGAGUUUUCCAUAUCGCGGCUGCCGUGACUAACCGGUACAAGGAGGAUCCACUGGUAACUUCGCUUGACUCCAUCGAUUCAACAGCUCUCUGGCAGCUUCGGUCUAGUCUUGUAUCUCGAACUUUUACUGUCUCCUUUUUCUUGUUCUUUGGUUCUUCUUCCAGACCGAGAUUGUUGAUCCAUGCGUGCUUGGAACUCUGAACGUGCUUAAUGCCUGCAAACGAUCCACAACAGUCAAGCGAGUGGUGUGCACGUCAUCCGUGGCUGCUGUUAGCGCGAGGAACGACUUCAAGCCCGAUGACGUCUUGGAUGAAUCGGUUUGGAGCGCCCCGGACUUCUGUCGGGAGAUCGAGGUAAGUUUCUUAUUUCCAUGAGCAAAGAUUCUUACAAGUUUCUCAAGUCUAGAUGUGGUAUGGUCUGGGGAAGACUCUAUCCGAGCAAGCAGCACUCGAGUUUGGGAAAGAAAACGGCUUAGAUGUGAUCACAAUCGCGCCCAGCUUAAUCGUUGGAGAACUACUCUCGUCCAGGGCCACCGCAAGCGUUGCCGAUAUUGUCCUACAGCUCCAAGGUAAAGCCUUAAUUACAAUCUCGGAAGAAAAACAAAAUGAUUUCAGAUUCCAUGCAGGAGCCAAGCAGUGGUUCAAUUACGCUGGAUACGUCCAUCUCGACGACGUUGCUCAAGCUCACCUCCUCGCUUAUACAAAUCCCAAAGCCAGUGGAAGAUACGUUUGUUCUGCGAUCAACAUGAGUACUAUUGACCUCGCCAGCUUCUUGUCCAAGCGGUAUCCCAAGCACCAAAUCGCCUCCACCGACGAGUAAGAUCACGCAAAAAAAAGCUUUGUUUUCUGUCGCUGUUUUAUUCUCAUUCCUUUGCUUUCUUGCAGGAUCGAGGUCGUCUCUCUGGCAGAGUUCAAGGGAUUCAGCUCCAGAAAGCUUCAAGAUGAGCUUGGGCUCCAAUUCAAGUCUCUGGAGCAAAUGUUUGACGAUUGCAUUGCGAGCUUGGAGCGCAAAGGCCUCUUAACUUUGAGUUAGUAGUUUACUGCAACUCAAAUAACACGAACACACUUCUUCUCCUUGAAUAAAAUCUCUCUGAUUUGAUCCAAGAAUUAAAACAAAGAAGAUAAAAGUGGACGAGUAUAAUAUCUCUCUCUGUCUGAAUUCUUCCUGCAAGAAAAAAAAAUGCUCCAACUUUUACAUUUGAAGUUUUUGCUGGAUGCUCUCCACGUGCACAACUUUCUGGGCGAUCCAUCAAAGGCCAAUUUCUGCAGAUUCGUACAGGUCUUAGAGGAACGACUGCAUGGCUACGGACUCUAUAUUUAUCUAUCUCAAACAACUUUACAAGUACUAUGAAAAUCAUUAGCAUUAUUAUUUGGCUUGGGUUGGGUAUUGGAUUUUCAAGGGUAAGUUGCCAACAGACCGUUGGCAUUACCCUUGUUUGCUCUCUGAAUUUGGUGCUGACCCGUCACUUAGCCAACUUAGGUGGUUUGAGGCAAAGGCUCUUCUUCUUUGAAGUCUCGGGUCUAAAUUCAAUAUCAAACUCUUGCUGUGGUAGAGCAUAUACUGAUUUUGCUCCGUUGAUUACUAUAACAGACAAGACCUUUGCCGUGUUGAUUGAGGCACUUGACACAGUGGCAGGUAAUCUUUCAUUCAAUUUAGUGAGGAGUUUACUCUUUGCGCUUUUGUAAUGUGUGUUUGAGGUCUGCCAAGGACAGAAAGGUGGUCCAGCCCGACAAUGUGAUAGUUAUUCCGCAUCUGUUAUUAGUUACCAGGUAGAUGAAUCAUCCCAGAUUUAUGUUUUAGCUUUACAGGUUAAUAGACAUCAUCGCUCAAGCGAAGGGAAUGAAAGUUCCAUUGCAUUGUCCAGCAUUGAAUACUUAAAAAGCACUGUUUCCCGGUUACUGAUAAUUCUUGUGAGAGAGAGCCGUGUUCAACUUUGGGGUCAUUCCAUGGCGAUGGCGAACGAGAAGAAGGUUUGGGCAUCUGGUUUCCUUCGUGAAGCGGCUACUGAAGGAGGGACAUUGCGUUGUCGGGGUACUUAAGCUAAUCGAUUCUACUUAGAAAUUGCUUUUCUUGUUUGUGCGAGCUUCCGGGGGAGAGAAAGAAGGCUGACUUUGUCACGGAAUUAGCCGCCUUUGACGAUAUUGUCCAAGUUUUCCAUCUCGCGGGCCGUGACUUUCAGCUACAAGGAGGUAACUUUGCUUCUCCUUCGAUUCAACAGCUCUCUGCCAUCUAUGGUCUAGUCUUGUAUCUCGAACUUUUACUGGUUCGCUUUUUCUUGUCUUUAGUUCUUCUUCCAGACCGAGAUUGUUGAUCCAUGCGUGCUUGGAACUCUGAACGUGCUCAAUGCCUGGAAACAAUCCACAAAGUCAAGCGAGUGGUGUGCACGUCAUCCGUGGCUUCUGUUAGUGCGAGGAACAACUUGAUGAAUCGGUGUGGAGCUCCCCAGACUGCUGCCGUGAGAUUGAGGUAAGAUUCUUAUUUCCACAAGCAAGAAAGAACGAAUUCUUACAAGUUUUUCAAGUCCAAAUGUGGUAUGGUCUGGGAAAGACUCUACCCGAGCAAGCAGCACUCGAGUUUGGGAAAGAAAACGGCAUAGAGGUGAUCACAAUCGCUCCCAGCGUCGUGGGAGAACUUCUCUCGUCCAAGGCCACGCCACCGCAAGCGCUGCCGAUAUUCUCCGACUGCGAGUGAUCUCGAAAGCAGAACAAAAAUAGUUUUGAGAUUCCAAACACAUUGUAGGAGCCACGGACUGUUUCGAUCAGGCUGGAUACGUUCAUCUCGACGACGUUGCUCAAGCUCACCUCCCUGCCUAUACGAAUCCCAAAGGCACUGGAAGAUAUGUUUGUUCGAUCAACAUGAGCGCUACCGAGCACGCCAGCUUCCUGUCCAAGACGCAGGUCGUCAUAUUUCACGGGAUUCAACUCCAGAAACCUUCAGGACGAUCUUGGGAUCCAAUUCAAGUCGCUGGAGCAAAUGUUUGAGGAUUGCGUUGACAGCUUCGAACGCAAAGGCCUCAUAACUCGAGUUUGAUAGUUGACUUUAAUGCUAAGGAAAUCCUCCUUGAAUAAAGUCUCUGUGAUUAUGAUCGAGCAUCCAAGAAAACAGAAAACAACCAUGUGUAGGAUACCUUUGUCAUCAAUGCCUGUCUAAAUCGUUUGGGAUUAACAUGCAAGUUCACACUAGUUUCUAAAAUGUACACGCGAACAUCCAUUCAAACUCGCACGUCUUCAAUGCAGAAUUCGUGCCGAUUGUGUAGUCGUCAAAGACGAACCCAAAUUUGUGUCAAUCGCUGCAGCGACCCAGUCUCCGCUAAAACUCUUUUCUAAUUUCCACUCUUUAUACGAUGCUUGCCAUUAUUUCGUGUCCAAGUGAAACAAAACUUGGUGUAAAAGUUCCAUACCACCACCUUUGACCGGCAAACAGUGAGAGUUUGACUGGCACUGCGCUGGUCAACCCUGCCCGAAGGUUUUACAUACGGUGCCAUUCCUGGAACCAGCCAAUUCCUGUGAACCCUCCCUGCUAUAAAUUGGAGCCUCCUCUCUCACAUCUCCACAAAUCGACGAUCACAACUGAGGUCCACUCUACAAUUUUGGAGCUCUUCCAUCUCUAAUUCCAGUUCUAAUAGAUUCUAAAAAUCGAGAGAAUCGAUCGCAAGUUCAAGUCUCCUGCUGUCAAAAGCUCUCCCCAAUUGCUGAUCGAUUUUUGCGCCCUCGAUCCAAAUGGCAAUGACGUCGCCUCUAUCGAUCCAUAAUCCUCUGUUCUUCGACGAUGAUGACCAAUCCGUUGGCGAGGUUCGCAAUUCCCAAUUUACCGAGGACGAGAUCCUUGGCCACAUGGAAUGCCUGGGCAUGAUCCACGCCUUCGUCACGCCCUUUGUGCUCAACGCCGCCAUCAAGCUCCGGGUCUUCGACAUCGUCGCGCACGCCUAAAUUCUCUCAACACCGGGUGAAGAUACUUGAAAACUUCAUCCUACAUGGUCACCAAUAUAAUCCCCUUAAAUCAACACAUANNNNNNNNNNNNNNNNNNNNNNNNNNNNNNNNNNNNNNNNNNNNNNNNNNNNNNNNNNNNNNNNNNNNNNNNNNNNNNNNNNNNNNNNNNNNNNNNNNNNNNNNNNNNNNNNNNNNNNNNNNNNNNNNNNNNNNNNNNNNNNNNNNNNNNNNNNNNNNNNNNNNNNNNNNNNNNNNNNNNNNNNNNNNNNNNNNNNNNNNNNNNNNNNNNNNNNNNNNNNNNNNNNNNNNNNNNNNNNNNNNNNNNNNNNNNNNNNNNNNNNNNNNNNNNNNNNNNNNNNNNNNNNNNNNNNNNNNNNNNNNNNNNNNNNNNNNNNNNNNNNNNNNNNNNNNNNNNNNNNNNNNNNNNNNNNNNNNNNNNNNNNNNNNNNNNNNNNNNNNNNNNNNNNNNNNNNNNNNNNNNNNNNNNNNNNNNNNNNNNNNNNNNNNNNNNNNNNNNNNNNNNNNNNNNNNNNNNNNNNNNNNNNNNNNNNNNNNNNNNNNNNNNNNNNNNNNNNNNNNNNNNNNNNNNNNNNNNNNNNNNNNNNNNNNNNNNNNNNNNNNNNNNNNNNNNNNNNNNNNNNNNNNNNNNNNNNNNNNNNNNNNNNNNNNNNNNNNNNNNNNNNNNNNNNNNNNNNNNNNNNNNNNNNNNNNNNNNNNNNNNNNNNNNNNNNNNNNNNNNNNNNNNNNNNNNNNNNNNNNNNNNNNNNNNNNNNNNNNNNNNNNNNNNNNNNNNNNNNNNNNNNNNNNNNNNNNNNNNNNNNNNNNNNNNNNNNNNNNNNNNNNNNNNNNNNNNNNNNNNNNNNNNNNNNNNNNNNNNNNNNNNNNNNNNNNNNNNNNNNNNNNNNNNNNNNNNNNNNNNNNNNNNNNNNNNNNNNNNNNNNNNNNNNNNNNNNNNNNNNNNNNNNNNNNNNNNNNNNNNNNNNNNNNNNNNNNNNNNNNNNNNNNNNNNNNNNNNNNNNNNNNNNNNNNNNNNNNNNNNNNNNNNNNNNNNNNNNNNNNNNNNNNNNNNNNNNNNNNNNNNNNNNNNNNNNNNNNNNNNNNNNNNNNNNNNNNNNNNNNNNNNNNNNNNNNNNNNNNNCGGAGCUUGAUGGCGGUGUUGAGCACAAAGGGCGUGACGAAGGCAUGGAUCAUGCCCAGGCAUUCCAUGCGGCCAAUGAUCUCGUCCUCGGUAAAUUGGGAAUUGCGAACCUCGCCAACGGAUUGGUCAUCAUCGUCAAAGAACAGAGGAUCGUGGAUCGAUAGAGGUGACGUCAUUGCCAUUUGGAUCGAGGGCGCAAAAAUCGAUCAGCAAUUGGGGAGAGCUUUCGACAGCAGGAGACUUGCACUUGCGAUCGAUUCUCUCGAUUUUUAGAAUCUAUUAGAACUGGAAUUAGAGAUGGAAGAGCUCCAAAAUUGUAGAGUGGACCUCAGUUGUGAUCGUCGAUUUGUGGAGAUGUGAGAGAGGAGGCUCCAAUUUAUAGCAGGGAGGGUUCACAGGAAUAGGCUGGUUCCAGGGCUACCUUAUUCUUCACGUGUUUGUGAAUUUUAUAUGGCUGGCCAUGCCUCCAGCAACUUACUAAUUGAGAGAUUUCCAUCUCCAAAUCGCAUGGCAAAGCCCUAGUGCAAUUUGGCACUAGGAAUGUGAGCAAAGAUCAGUCAUAUAGUGAUUGCUAAGAGGAGUAAUUGGUAGCAACAAACAUGACAAGGGAGGCUGGGGCUGUCAUGGAUGACAACAGCUCACAACAAUAUAUUUUCUGGUUUAUCACUAUUAUAAUUGAUUUAAAAUUUAGUAAAAAUAAUGACUACAUAUUUUUUGUUUUAUUACUAUUAUAAAUGUAAAUUAAUAAAAUUUCCAAUUUGACUUUAAAUCUUAAAUUUAUAAAACUAUUGUGUCUUAAAUUAUAGUUACAAAUAUCAAUUAUAAAUAAUAACAAUCUCAAUGUAAUGCAAUAACUUAAAACUCAUGUACCCCUUGUGGGUCAUUUCCCAUUCUAAUACCAAGAAGCAAGUUUUGUUUGUGACUAAUGUUGGUGACCAUGGGCAAUGAACAAGAUUGCACGCUGAGAUAAGAGGGGUACUCAUCUUCUCCUUGAAUCUCCAGGGCCUUCUCUACUUCGGGCUUUUCCAAACAUGUCACUGUGCUCUGCUGUGGAGGUUGAUGGGCUCGAGUUGGAACCAGCCAUCAAUCUUUUCCAUGGCUGAGAUCCGCCAUAACAGAACAUGACAUUGACAUACAUUCUAGAGGGACAGAGGUGAGUGAGGGAUCUGGAUAAAUCCACGCCAAGCCAAAGAGCUUGGGAGGUAUUGGCGAGGCUGGAUUAUUAGACUAAGAACAUCAUGAUUGGAUGUUUUCACAACUGUGGUCUUUUUUAUGUAUGACAGUGACUUGAACAAUCCAACCAGAUCCAAAAACCAGAUUUUACUAAAUGGACAUUUCCUUGCAUGGACAACUUUAAUUAACCCUUGCAUGGAUUUUUGCUGUUAGAAACAAAGAAGAAGAAAAAGUUAUUUGAACUAGAAAAAAGAAAAAAUGAGAUUAUCCAACAAGCUCAUGUGUCUUUGGCUAACAAUAAUUAUGUGUUGGACUUGUCGUCAUUGGUGUCCACAGCCUGUGUUCCUGGUUGCUCCAAGAUGCUAAGUCUUGCAUCCGGCUGGGCCAGUCAGCAUUUAGUCUCCUUGCAAAAUCUUGGGCUUCCUUAAAUCUCAAUCAAUGUAUGUCACCUUGAACGAAACUAGCGCCUGCAAAUUGGAUUGGAGAUGAAAAACCUUGCUUUUUGAGCUCUAGAGACGAGAACAAAGCUCUCAAGGAAAACAAUGUGGAAGAAGGGAGUAUACACCCACAUACCUCCUUUGAGAAGCUGUCCCGAAGAAGGGGACGUGAUUCUCUGGAACACCAUGAUCUCAGCCUAACUCUUCCUGAAUCAGAGAACAUUUGAGUGAAAGGAAUACGAAGUUAAAAAACAGAGCUGAUUUUACAAAUGUCGUGGUUCCACUCCCCCGCAAGUAUAUCAAUGUAUUGCGCUCCCACGGCACCACUAUAUGAAUCGACAUCACAGCUUUGGGAGGGCGAUGAAGGCUAUGAUCUCCAUCUGGCGAUGGUGAUGGAGUGGCAAUGCCAUCGAUUCGUGUGUGAACAAAGACUCUAUUUCCUGCAGCUCCAUCCCCCAAGAAGGUAGAGCUUGCUGCCCAGAGCCUGGCACACGAAUCCCCAUGCCUUUGGUGAGGAGGAAUCCGGUGCCACUGGGUAUCAAAAGCUCUUAUCGUCCAAGCCCUGUUUGGCUCUGGAGUCUGGCAAAUAGUUGAUGAGCAACUGUGAAAGGAGCAGCGCAAGUCUCGUGCACAGGGAAGCGUGCCGGAUCGACGAGCUAAGCACCGGCAAUUCACAUUCUUCUUGCUAUCACUAUAUGCCUGGUUUGGGCAUAUUGACAAGGCAAUCAAGGUCUUUCACACGAUUCAGGAUCCCAAUGUCUUCUCCUGGAAAAUCCUGUUACAGGCCUUUUGCGAUGACAAUCGCGUUGCUGAGGAUGGAAACACCUUUGAUUCUCUGCAGGAGAGGGACGUGGUGACCUGGACUGCGAUGGUGAUUGCAUAUGCCCGCAUUGGGCAUCGUUUGCGCCAAAGUUUUUCUUCACGGGCCGCGGCGAAACCAGGUGGAAUGCCUCUCAUCCACCGCGAGGUCUUGCUCAAUGGAUGCUGUCUCAGGGACAAGUCAAGUUAAUCCCAGUUGCUACUCGAGUACGUACUGCCACUUCCCGGUCCAAUAAGGUCACAUCGCUGGUUGGAAUUCAUGGCUUGGUGACUUGAGAUCUUCCUUUUUCUUUUCGCAGGAGAGGAAGUUUUUCGAUGAGAAGUCCGUCCCGCUAGACACCAAAACGUUGUGUGAGCUCACGUCGGCAGCUGAAAGCCUUGAGGUGGACUUGACCAGUCGACUCUAGAUUGGAUGAUGGAAGGAAAAACACCGAAAGAGAUCUGGACUGCCAGACGAUCUAACUGAAGUAGGAAGCUAAUGUUAUAGAUCUCUCACGGGCAUGGUAGCUUGCGAAUUGUUUAAUUCCAGCUCAGCUGUGGACAAAAAAUGCAUUUUGCUGGCGAGCUUCAUGCAGAUUGGAGAUGUAGACAUGGUGGCGUGGUUGAAAUUGCAGCACAGCACGAGAUGAAGCCAAAGAAAUGUUUGAUCGAUAUGAAGGAUCAAAUCUCAUGAACAUAAUGCUAGAAGCAUCAAAUUCAUGAUCACGGCUCUUUUUCCCCAGGGUGGAUAUUGUGAAAAACAUUGCUCCUUCAAUUCGCUUAGGACCACCAAAACUACAACACAAGUCCGUCCACAAGCCAAUCAGCAGGCUGUCCGAUCAGCAGGAUUCCUCAUCCCCUCCGGCUACUAGCGACAACUAAUUAAGUUGCUUCGUUUGGACUAAUUGAGAAAACUCUCCGGUUUUUUAUUUCUUCCCCUUUUUUAGCUGCCACUUAGCUCAAGUUUAGGGUUCAUCGUUGAAGGGCUCGGACGAGAUGUCUUGGGGUUGGCACACAAGAAUGAUCAGUAACCUCUUAGUAAACAACGGAGGCGAACCGCUCUUUUAUAAAACUUAUGCGUUUGAUUGAGUUUGCUUGAUGUUCCAUCAACUUUGUUUUUGCGUAUGCAAUUGUCUUGCUGACGACAUCAAAGUUCGACAAUACACCAGACUGAAUAACAACAAAGUUCCUCAAAGUUGCUGACGAACAACAUCCUACAAAGUGAUGAAGUAACACAACACCAAGUUUUCACACCAGUACGUGAGAAGGUCCAAAAUAAAAUUAAAAAAACUAUGUAUGCCCGCACACCAGCACUGCAAUAGUGGCUCAAACAAUGAUUCAAGUAUCAAAACUAGACGGUCAUUGCCUCGAGGAGGGAAUACACAUUUGGGUACUGUUUCCGAGAAGGAUCCCAAAUACCAUACUUGCCUCAGUACGGCACUCGUUUUCCAGCCAUGUGCUGGCUCCGCUGGGUUGUUCCUUGGCCUUUUUCAAGAGUUUCUGCUUCUCAUGGGGAAGGGUCUUUAAGACUAGCUUGAUAGCCCCACUGCACAUACUUCUAAUUUCCUUACCAGUUCCUUAAGAAUGUAGAUUUCAUCCUGUCCAAGAUUGGUCAAGCACUGGCAGCUCAAGCUCAUGCGUCGUGUACGCUACUUUCCCUUCCUCUGCACAUGAAACAGCUGCGCUCUUGGUCGGGGCUGGGCAGAUGUACACAGUGUGCACCACGCAAUGUCCAGUAUACCAUUCUUCCUGUGUGUUUCUGGACUAACAGUGACCUGGAGUGCAAGGAUAUGUAACACUCGCUGCUCGUUAACCCACACUAGCACGCGAUCCACAUACUUGAACGAGUUGUAUACUGCCUGGUGCGGCUUCCAGUUAUCUGGCCUGAUAAUGCUGGUUCACCCUUUAAAGCUUUCAGCUGGAACACUCCGAUUUGUUGCCCUUGGAAGUUCAAACCGGUAGCCUGGAUAGCCUCUCCAACCCACUUCCGGCCAAAUCACAUAUCUUUUCUUGAGUUUGUUCACGAGGUUGGCCUUGAGCUUUGGUGAGCGAUAGACUGUGCCCUUCAAGCGCUCUAAAGCCGCUUCACGAUGACCGAGUUGGUGCAAAAAGAUCCACUGCAAACAUAGCCCUUGAACACAGAUGCGGGAUCUCUAAGCUUCUCUACAUCCUCUGUGUACCUGUUCUUGAUGUAGUCUCGGAUGCAUUCAAAGGGCUCAGCUGUCCUGAAGGUAAGCAGGACCAUUUCCAGUCUCUCUUUUCAUCCAGGUACUUCUCCGGGCUUUCCAGUUUGGCUGUCAUGUAGAGUUCAUUUCCCGUCUCCAGAUCCAGUAGAGAAAUGCCCAAACGUCUCUUCUUGCGGAAGAAUUCGUCUUCAAUUUACUCUUUACAAGCCUUGUCUAGGAGGAACAGGGACAUUGGGUGCUUGUCAGCAUAAAGAAUAACAUCCGCUAGGAUGCUGCUGAAGCAUCUUGCCAUCUGUUGCAGAAAUGAAGUAUAUGUAAAUGUCUGGAUUUUUGUGUGUGGAAUGCUUUGUUGACUUCAUUGCUUUGGUAUGGUUAUGUACAUAAUGGUAUGGGUGUGAUGCUUGGCAUUGGAUGGAUGACUUGGUUUUGUUUGUUGACAUGGAGACUUGUUGUCACUCAUCUCCACACUCCUUCUCAAGGCUCUCACUGUCAGUCAAAUGGAGAGAUUUGAGGAAGACUUCAUGUUUCACUUGAGGCAGGGACUUCAUCAGGAUAUCAGCAAAUUGAGGUGGUUGAGCAAAAUUCAAGUUGAUGGUUCCAUUGUGCUUGGUGCAUGAACCCAAUUGAACACUAUUGCCAACAUACUAUUGAAAUUUGUAUCCUUAAUCCCUGCAGUAACAUUUUAAGCUAGAUGGCUUUUUUCAUUGCUGCUGCAGAUCUAAUGCAUUUAGACUCGCACAAGGACAUCAUAGUGAUCUGCUGCCUCUUGAAACAUCAACUAACCACAUUAUGGUUAUACACAUUUCCUCUUCCAUAUUUCAGUGUGUAUUUCCGUGUACCACUCAUAUACCUCAUGAUCCGCUUCACAGCAGCCCAAGACUACUCCCACACCAAAUGUGAGGUUAGGCCUAGUUGAGACCAUCAAGUAGAUGAGACUCUCGACCAUUGAACAAUAUAGUGUUGUGUUAUCCUCUUCAGGAGUCUCAUUUGAAGUUCAUGUUUACUUCCAUAGAAUUAUCCACUCAAGUUAGCAUUAAGCAUAGAGUACCUUUGGAGAAUGUCAUGGAUGUAUUUUUUGUAGGAGAGCUUUAGUACUCCACAUUACCUAUCUAAAUUCCCAAGUAGUAGUGCAAUUCUCCCAUAUCAGUCAUCUUGAAUUUGGCAACAAAGUAAGUCUUAAUCCAGUUGAUGAGUUGCAUCUGAUUGGAGGUAAUAGUGUAUCAUCCACAUAUAAGGCUAAGAAUAGAAAUCCUUAACCAUCUUGAUAUGGAGGGGAUAGUCUCUAAUAGAGUGUGAUUGAGUUGCUUUGCCAUGCUAUUCUGCUAAAGAGUAUAAGCUAUUGUAUACUGAUGAACAAUGCCAACCUCAAUCAGGAAGUUCAAAAACUCACUGCUCAUGUACUUGCCACCACCAUCCGUGUGUAGCACAUGGAUUUUCCUUCUAGUAAAGGUCUUUACCCAGCUCUUGAAAAGCUUGAAGUGGUCAAACACUUCACUCUUUGCAUAGAGAAGACUCACCAUAGUGUACUUAGAGUGGUCAUUGGUAAAAGACAUAAAGUACUUCUUGCGGCUAAGUGUUUCCAUAAGUAGGUAGCACAUGUCAUUAUGAACCAGAUUUAGCAAGCUUACUUCAUGGUUCUUGAUGUGAAUGGAAAGUAAAUUUGCUUGUCAAGAUGGCCAGUUUUACACAUGCCCAAAUGAUGCUUUCUGUGAGCUUGUUGCAAGCUAAGGUGUGCAAAUCUCAUUCAUUGACAUGCCAUGAGGAUUGAAACAAACCCAUGUAGAUGUCUGGAUUUGUGUGUGUGUAAUGCUUUGUCGACUUCAUUACUUUGGUAUGGUUAUGUACAUAAUGGUAUGGGUGUGACACUUGGCAUUUAGUGUCUUGCAUGGAUGACUUGGUUUAUUUGCUGAUGAGGAGACUUGCCGUCACUUAUCUCCACAAGGCCAUGGCAUGGUGGUGAUCAAGUUUUCAGAUGGACCUCUCAAGGAAGUUCAUCACAUUGACUUCAUCACCAUUGAUUGCUGCUUUACCACCACUUUCUUCACAGAGUUGGUGGCGGUGCCAUAGCUCAAUGAUUUUGUGUGUUUGAAAAGUAAGCACUUAAGUUGGAAAUAUUAGUUCUGCAUUAAAUAGUAGAGAGUUUCAUACCAAACACCACUGGCUAUAGAUGAGCUCAUGUUGUGCACCCUUCUGUGAAGAAAGUGGUGGUAAAGCUUUGAUCCAAGGCUGCAUUACAACAAAGUGAAUGUGAGAGGUCCAUCUAGAAACUUGAUCACCACCAUGCCACAGCCUUGUGGAGAUGAGUGAUGACAAGUCUCCUCAUCAGCAAACAAGCCAAGUCAUCCAUGCAAGACACUAAAUGCCAAGUGUCACACCCAUACCAUUGUGUACAUAACCAUACCGAAGUAAUGAAGUCAACAAAGCAUUACACACACAAAAAUCCAGACAUCUAUAAGGUAUUGUCAACAAUCUUUCAGGCAACAUGUUAACAAUUUAAGAGGCAAUUGGUGAAAAGGUGAGUUUUUCUCCAUCACCAGUGUUUGUUCUGGAGGUGUUAUGGCUGGAUUGUAGUGCUUCAUUUCACAUGACUCCCUUGAGGUUUGUGUUUCACACUUAGAAGCCUCUCCAUGCUCCAUAACAGGUUUACAUUGGCAAUAAAUGACCACUUCAGCUGGAAGGCAGUAACAUGGUGGUGAUCAAGCUUCCAGAUGGACCUCUCAAGGAGGUUCAUCACAUUCAUUUCAUCUAUAUACUCCAUAGGUGCAACUUCAUAUCAAGAUUUUGAAAAGAAAAAACUUUUAGGUAAGAACCAAUUUUGUGUUAGUGGCUGCAAAGACUUGGGAGAGAGAAUCCCAGAUCAAGAAGAUGAAUGAAUUCAUCUCCAAGACUCAGUCCAAUCAUCGAGAGUGCUUUGCAAUUCUUAGAGUCCUAAGUAGCCUACAAGGCGGUGUCAGUGUCAGGAGGUCUUACUUCAGUUCCCUGACCAAGUCCUAGCAAGCUUUAGCCAUCAAAAUUAACUGGACUUUGGUCUUUCAUAAUGAAUGAUGCAAAGAAGGCUGCCACCUAGCAUAUGCUUACUCAAAGCAACUUGUUGUUAAUAAUGGCUCUUCUCAGCUUGCAGCCACGGUGGUCUCGUCAAAGACGGCGUCCAGCUCUUCGUGUCACUCCUCCACGACUACCCAACGAUCUCCCCGCGAGCUGAGCACUACUACUGCAUGGUGGACCUCAUAGCCAAGCUCGACGCUGCUGAGAAGUUUAUAGCCGUGGCACCCCGACCGGGUGAUCCACUCCACAAUGCUGGGAGCCUCCAAAGUUCACAAGGACGUGGAGCAAGAGAGAAAGUCUGCCGAGCACUUGAUGGAGCUCACAUCGGAUUGCUCCGUGGCGUACAUGGUGCUGUCGAAUCUCUACAACGAAGUCAGGAAGAAGGACGAGGGGGGCAAGAUCGGGAGGCUCAUGUACGAGAAGAACAUCAGGAAGGAGCCGGCUUUCAGCUCAUUGCGUUGAAGCGAAGAGUCCACGAGUUCUUCACGGGGGACACGACAAUGCUCGAACUCCAGAGAUCUUGGAGGAGCUGGAGAGGGUGAGGUCGGAGAUGGCCAAGGCAGGAUACACUCCAGACACCACUCUCAUGCUUCACGACGUGGGGACGAGCAAAAGAAGCGCUUGCUCUCGUAUCACAGCGAGAAGAUGGCGAUUGCAUUUGGGUUGAUCAGCACAGCCCCAGGAACUUCGCUGAGGAUCAUCAAGAACUUGCGCGUGUGUGGGGACUGUCACACUGCCACCAAGUUUAUCUCCAAGAUCACGGAAAGAGAGAUUGUCGUGAGAGACAGCCAUCGCUUCCAUCACUUUGACAAUGGGGGAGACUAUUGAUAAUUCAGGUAAGUUUUAAUCUAAUUUAUUUUUAAAAUAAGGAACAAAGCAAAAAGGUGGUUAAAAAGGGAGCUUAGUUUUAUAUAAAUCCAUGAAGGUCUAUCAGAAGGAAAAACGAUGGGUUCUCACUCAAGUUCUUCGAUCGAUCAUCCAUCCCCAAAUUCCUUGAAGCCGACUUGGUCUAACAAGAGGAAGCGUUCUCCACGUCCCCGUUCUUUUAAGAACCUAACUCGGUCGACCACUCCACACAAGAGGGUCCCUCUGGACCCUCCAGCCCUGUGCUCUCCCAUGGAUCUGGAAAGAUCCGAGAUGGAUCAAGCAAGUUUCUUUGAACUUAGAGAACCCAGAGAGGCGGACAACGAACUCGUGAUGAAGCAAGAACCACUUGAAGAGUUAAGAUUGGAUCAAGUUUCUUGCUCUGAGGUCGACUGGGGGGAACUUCUCAAAGAUCUCUAGUUUGAUGAAAAUUGGUCACUUUCGCAAGAGAUGUUUUGUAAAAAUAAACAUUUUUAAUAAUUUAAUUUGAGCCAAGUUGACAUCCCUGGGCCAGUUGAAAGUAACUGUCGUCCGGCACUGCUGCUGCUGCUUUCGAUCGAUUUCUUCUCGAUCUACAGCACCAUCGAAAGCACUCGAAACAACCCAAGCAUCCACCAACACGAGCCGGGAUUUCCAAGAGCUCUGGAAAGCCUAUCAAAUUUUCCUGAACCGGCUCUCGAGAUCACUCGCAAAAGAUGACAACGAUGGCCUUCCCUGGUGGUAUAACAUCAACCCGCACUUUCCAUGGCCCUCCUUUCCAUUUCUGCGGCCUCCAAUGCUACCACCACCGCCACCGCCACCUUUGUGCCCACCACCACCGCCGCCAGUAAACUUCACCUCCAGCGAUGUCGAUCGAAUCAACCUUGCUCUCAACGUUCACUAUCUCCAAGCCGAGUUCUUCCUCCAUGCAGCGUUUGGACACGGGCUUGACAAAGUUAAUGCAAAGCUUGCCGAGAAGGGGCCACCGCCUAUUGGAGGCCGCAAAGCUCAACUCUCUAUACAAAUGGAGCAUGUUGCCAAAGAACUUAGGCUCCAAUCUACAGGUCAUAUCAGGUAGUUAACAUUUCUUUCUCUCAAGUUUUUUUUUCUAAAGUUGUUUUCACACAGGGCAAUCCAUGAUAAGCUGUCGGCCCCUGCUAAACAUAGAUGCUGGAGUGUGGAAUUCCCUCAUCAGCAAGGCUCUCGUUCACACUCACACCGAAGUUGAUGGUGGUUCUUUGCGGUUUGAUCCGUAUGAAAACGACGCAAACUUUCUCAUUGCUGCAUAUGUGAUUCCGUACAUUGGCCUUAACACGCUCGUAGGUUCGAGCAAUCGAGUGACUGGCAUUCAAGCACGAAAUGUAACAAAGAAUUACAAGAUUUUCAAGAGAUUCUUUGUUUCUUCAAAACAGUUGGUUGUCCGGAUUGAUGGGAAUCCAAGCUCCACGAAUGACUACUCCAUGGCCAUCUCGAGACCAAGUUCUCCAAGUUUUGUACGGAACAGGGAGACGCUUCCAUACCGGGAUUGUUCUUCCCCAAGGGGGCUAACGCUGACAUCUUUCUCAAACCCAGGGGCCCAAACUUUAGUGUGAAUGACUUUUUGCCUUUCCAGAAGUUCUAGCAAAUGAGAUUCCAAACUUAGGAUCAGCCGAGGAAACCUUCUUGUAAAAACAAACGGUGUCUCCUUCCUUGAGCGAGUGCUCCCUCACAUAAUGAAUCCAGUGUGUUGUGAUCAGGCUCCCGGUUUUCCCCUUCUUGCACCGGAGCUCCCAAACUCCGCCCUCUUCGUCCACAAAUUCCACGAGAACCUUUUGAUCAUUCGGGAGAAUUGACUCGUACUUGACCGGGAUGAGCAAUCUGUGCAGGCUAUUCACGUCGCUGGCGGUCAGCUUCUUGUCAAAAAGUAGAGCCCAACGAGAUGGAUCGCAGGUGACGAGAGGAUCCUCGCGUUUCCGGGGUCUCCACUUGUGACACUUCGUUUUCUUGGUGUCUCCCGCCGGCUGAAUCGCGCCCGAGGACGAGGAAUCUUUCACCUCAUCAGUCCUUGAACCGUAAUCUCGAUCGCCCAUCUUAAGUUUCUUUACCUUUUGUCCCAGUUGUUGACAUUCGUCCAUGACCACCACCUUUCUUUCAUAUCCGCCGUGAACCAAAGUAGAGCCCUCCAGAGCAUGGAUUUCCGUGGAGACCGCUUCCUUCUCAGGACAAAUGUCUUCGAAAAACUUGGCUGCAAGGCUGCAGCGUCCGCAAGAACCAACAGUCCAGAAAAAUCUUUGCUUGUCAUCUCACCACUAGUGAAAAAACCCUUUGCUUUAAUCCAAACCUAUACACUAUUCACUGCCUUUUAAAUAAAAGUUAAGCAAAAGGUGGUUAAGAAAGUGAAAAAACCCUUUGCUUUAAUCCAAACCUAUACACUAUUCACUGCCUUUUAAAUAAAAGUUAAGCAAAAGGUGGUUAAAAAUCUUGGCGGCAAAAGGCUUUGAUUUGAAAUCCCUAACAAGGGCUCUUCAAAUUUGGUUCCCGGUUCGUCGAUCGAUCGAUCGAUCGGAGGAAAGAUUGUGUGCCAGUUACUAUAUAUCGCGAUGAGGAGCGCAUUGCAAUUGAUGAGAUGCCGGUCCUCCCCGGCGACCAGCGCAAAUGCUGGGAUCAUCGGCGCCACCGCCGUUCCAAUUGAGCAGCUUCAAUCCUCUCAGCACUGCCGCCGCUGCCGCCGCCUCCAGCCCAGGAGUGGCAUCGACUUGUAGAGAUUUCAGGAAGCUCUUGCUCAGUCGCCCAUAUGUAAUCACGAGUCUCUCUCCUUUCUCUUCGAUCUUUCGCAUUUAAAUGGGCGAUGUCGAAUCGAUUCAACUCUCUUGGAUUUCGAUGGCGGUGAUGCACAAACAGGGGAGGAAGAGGGCUGAUCCCGAUAAUUAGAUACAAGCACGAUCCUAUCGUUUGUUUUCUUCCGUAGGUUCUCCAGUACACGAGCUAGAACAAACAUUUCUUAUCAGGUUUUCAUUACACCGGUCUAGAGCUUGCUUUCAAUAUUGUUCGCUCGUCGGUGGAGUUUCAUCAGGUUCUCUUAUCAGGUGUGACCAGUCUAGAGCUUGCAUCAAAUCCACUCACAGUUUCAUAGUUCACAUCAGGAGCAAGUUCAUCAAAUCAUGCAACACUUGCUCACCGAUUGGGUGUGUUUUCAUGCUCAUUGAUUGAUAUGAUUUUGUAAUUAAUUUUUUUUAAUAGUGCUCUUUGCUCUUGCUGGAGCUGGCAAAGCUGGAGAAUCAGUGGAAACGGACCCAUAGUGCUUCGAUCAUGACUAUGGUGCUUAUUUUGCUAGCCAUACAUGCCACACUUGCGUUACAUGGAUCAAGAGGGAAAUGAGCCAAGCGAUCUACUCUUACUUGCGUGUAAGAGGCCUUUGCGUUCCAGGCUCUCAACGCAAUCGUCGAACAUUUGCUCCAGCGACUUGAAUUGGAUCCCAAGGUCGUUCUGAAGCUUUCUGGAGCUGAAUCCCUUGAAAUUUGCCGGCCACCGGACCUCGAUCCUGCAAGAAAGCAAAGGAAUGAGUACUAAAUUUUUGUUUGCGUGAUCUUACUCGUCGGUAGAGGCGAUUUUGUGCUUGGGAUACCUCUUGGACAUGAAGCUGGCGAGCUCGAUCGCACUCAUGUUGAUAGCAGAGCAAACGUAUCUUCCACUGGCUUUGGGAUUUGUGUAGGCGAGGAGGUGAGCUUCAGCAACGUCGUCGAGAUGGACGUAUCCAGCGUGAUCUAUCCACUGCUUGGCUCCUGCAGUGAGGUUGGAAUCUCAAAAACGUCCUUCUUCUGUUCUUCCGAUAUAGAAAGGCUUGCCUUGGAGCAGCCGGAGAAUAUCGGCAGCGCUUGCGGUGGCCCUGGACGAGAGAAGUUCUCCAACGAUUAAGCUGGGAGCGAUUGUGAUCACAUCUAUGCCGCUUUCUUUCCCAAACUCGAGUACUGCUUGCUCGGAUAGAGUCUUUCCCAGACCAUACCACAUCUAGACUUCAAAAGCUUUUUAAGAAUUGGUCCUUUGGAAAUAAGACACUUGCCUGAGUCUCACGGCAGCAGUCUGCGGAGCUCCACACCGAUUCGUCCAAGACGUCAUCGGGCUUGAAGUCGUUCCUCACGCGGACAGCAGUCACGGAUGACGUGCACACCACUCGCUUGACUGUCGUAGAUCUCUUGCAGGCAUCGAGCACGUUUAGAGUUCCAAGCAAGCAUGGAUCAACAAUCUCGGUCUGGAAGAAGAACCGUAAACAAAAACAACCAGUAAAAGUUUGUGAUACAAGACUAGACCGAAUCGAAGGAGUCAAGCAAAGUUACCUGUGGAUCGUCCUUGUAGCUGAGAGUCACGGCAGCCGCGACAUGGAAAACUCCAUGGCAGCCUUGAACAAUAUCGUCAAAGGCCCCUUGCGUGACAAGGUCGGCCUUCUUGAGCUCCAGCCUCUCUCUCGCCCCUGGAAGCUCGCACAGGUGCGAAGUCUUGCUCGCAUCGUCUAGUAUCAGAAACAAGAGAAUUAAACUAUGUUUCUUCUCGUUUGUAUGUACCUGGAUCGCGCACAGUCCCGAUGACGUGAUAUCCCUCCUCCAAUAGCCGCUUCACGGGCCAAGAUGCCAGGAAACCAGAAGCGCCGGUGACACACACCUUCUUCUCGUUCGCCAUCGCCAUGGAAUGACCCUAAACUGGGCCUUGGCUCUCACUCACACAAGAAUGAUCAGUAACCAGGAAUUUUACUUUCAAACCUUCAAUGCUGGACAAUGUACUUGAGCGAUGAUCUUCCAGAGAUUCCUGUGAUAGAAAAAGCUUCCUAGAGCUUGAGAAACACGAACUCCUCCACCGCCGGGAUGGCCCCGAUCCUGUGCAGCACUUCCUUGCUCGGCUCCUCAUCCACGCCAAUCGCCAUCACCGCCUGCUUCCUGGCGAAGUCUUCCCCACGCUCAUGAAGCUCACGUUCACGUUCCCGUCGCCCAGCAACUUUCCCGGUGAUCCCCGGCUGAUCCACCUGUUUGCACAGGAUGACCGAUCCCUCCAGGCUCACGUCCAUGCUAAACUGCCCCACCUGCGAGAGGUGUGGAAGCCCGUUCUUGAUCCUGCCCGCCACCGCCACCGCCACCCUUCCACCGUCGGAGACUGCGGUCGAGAACUUGGACUCGACGUUGGAGAUCUUCACCGCGAUGCUCUCCAGCGGCUGGGCCUGCGUGCCCGUCCCCUCGGCCGGGUGCCUCUCCUCGCUGAUCCGGAUGCCACGCUGCUUUGCGACGUAGUCCGCGUUCACGAGGUUGAUGAAGGCGUCCGACACUGGCUCCACCAGGCCCUUGACGAUCAUCGCGCGGAGGAGCCGGGUGUCUAGAUCGUCCGGGGACCGGGCGGACGUGUAGCUGAUGGUUACGUCCUUGACUCCGUCCCCGCCGGCUACCAGCUGCUAGCUUUCCCAGCUUCUCGGCCAGUGAGCUCGGUUAAAACCUGGAGUUGCGAGCAUUGAGUGUCGAGCAAAGCAGUAAAGAGAUUAGCAUACCUUGGAGGAAACCAUUGGAGCGUUCACCGCAGUAGCGGAAAGCUCUCCACGCAACGCGCCAACGACAGCUUCAGCAAUCUCUACGGCCACGCCUUCCUACAAACUCCAUUUUGAUUAGUUGAUGAUAAGGUGAGCCAUGGAAGUUGGGAUGCUGCUAACCUGCGCUUCUACCGUGCUCGCACCUAGAUGAGGAGUAACUAUCACAUUCUCGUGCUGGACCACCUUGUUGUCCUUUGCAGGCGGUUCUUGCUCGAACACAUCGUGAGCAGCCUAACAAAAAACACACCAACGUGUCAGAUCUCUCUCUCUUGAACAAAUAAGUAAAAGAUCUACCUGAGCCACAGUGCCAUUGUCAAGUGCCUUGAUCAACGCAGCUUCGUCAAUGACACCGCCCCUCGCGACGUUGAUGAUGCGAACUCCCUUCUUUACCUUCGCAAAAGUUUCAUCGUUGAAAAUGCCCCGGGUAUCAUCCGUGAGCGGCAUGUGGAGCGAGAUAUAGUCGGCUCGAGCCAGUGCCUCAUCGAAGCCAACGAUCUCCACUCCAAUCGCGCGGGCCCUGUCGGCGGGAGCAUACGGAUCGUGCGCAAUCACGUGCAUGCCCAGGCCUUUGGCUCUUCGAGCAACUUCCGAUCCCACUUUCCCAAAUCCCAUGACGGCAAUGGUUUUGUCUACUAGAGAAACGCCCGUGUACUUGCUUCUCUGCCACUUCCCUGGAGAAACAGAAAAAAUAAAGAAACGACUCUCGUGUUAGUUCUGCUUAGACCAAGAGAGUAGAACUUAGUAAACAAUGGAGAAAGGUCAGCAAGACAAGACCAAACAAAGCUAAUGAUUUCGAACAAUGGAGCAAAAUCACCAAGACAAAAUCAAGCAAAGUUAGUGAUUUUAACCAUGGAGCAAAGUCAGCAAGACAAGAUCAAACAAAGCUAAUGAUUCCAAACAAUGAAACAAAGUCAGCAAGACAUUAUCAAACAAAGUAACGAUUUUAAAAGCACUCGUGCGCAAGAACAAAGUUGGAGCAUCCAGCAAAACACAAACACAAUCAAACACGACAAAGAAAAGAAAAGAAAUGCCACACAAAGAUCUUACCUGACUUGACAGAAGCGUUUGCUUGCGCGACGUUCCUGGCCAAUGCAGCAAGGAGAGCGAUGGCGUGCUCGGCCGCUGCCACAGUGUUUGCCGUGGGAGCAUUCACUACCAGGCAGCUCUUAUCGGUGGCGGCUUGCAAGUUGACGUUGUCGAUCCCAAAGCCAGCCCUCCCCACAACCUUUAGUCUUCCAUUGGCCGCCUUAAACACCUCGUUUGUGACCUUGGUAGCGCUCCUCACGAUCACCGCGUCACACAGGGAAAUCUUGGCCUGGAGCUCCUCGGGGGAGAGAUUGUAGGAGCAGUCGACGUUGGCUACCUUGCGGAGGAGAUCCAGGCCGACCUCUCCCAGCUUCUCAGCGACGAGCACGGUCGGCCUGGGCGUCACGUCUUUCACUGCACUACUCGGACGAGCGAGGGCGUGAUUAUGGAAUCCACUCGGCCGGAGCUUGGCGGUUCGUUUCAGUAUUUCUAUCGUGUUUUAGGAAGUGGUGAGCCAAUUAAGCUAGUGCUUGGAAAGAGCAAGAUGAUUCGAAGGCUGGGAAGAAGGACUACUAACUGUCCCCAAAGGUGAAAUUGUGAUGGUGGGGAAAUUCAGUAGCAUCUCUUUGUUUCUCAUUCAUACUCGAUGAUGCUUUCCCAGCUUAAAAUCUUACCUGAGUUUCACUAUGGAGAUCCCGACCGUCCGGUUAGUGCGCGAGAAGACUUUCCGAAACACGAAAUUCUAAUUUUUGAGAUCGACAUGCUUGAGAUCCGACCUGUGAAGGUCAGUAGGCUUUGCUCUUUUCUUUCUUGACUCGAGUUGUUUUCAGGUGAUCACAGAUGACUUUGGGGGUACUCAAGCAGGUUCAUAUAUACUCGGUUUGCAAGCUCCAAAGUUAACUCAACCUGUAGGUUCUCCGUGAGGGCGAGGGAUUCGAGACUGCACGGGAGCCAUACGAGAUAAAAGUUUGGUGUGUACUGUCCCUUCAUCUUUUGGUGUGCUAACAAAAACGCCUUACUCUAGGAUAACCGGAAGUGUAAACGGAGAAGUGUUCUUCAAUCACACCAAGGGCAAUCCAUUCGAAUUUUGCUUUGGCAAAAAAGAGGUAUAAUAUCUCUAUCUUUGCGCGUCAAACUCGAGUACAAUGUUUGCCUUGGCCUUGAGAAAGGCAUAGGAACAAGGACAAAAUGGGAGAAGGCUAUUGUAUACGUUACCACAGAGUAUCUUACUCCAUCGUCCGCCAUUCCCGAUCUACCUGUUACUUCCGGUGAAGUGGCAUUUGAAGUAGAAGUAGUUCAAAUAAUACAGGUAUGAUGUUUUCUAUUUCCUGAUGGUUAAAGCGCGUAUUUUUAAGGUGCGAGACAUGUUUGGCGAUGGCUGCGUAGUGAAGCGGCGCAUCCGUGAUGGAGUAGCCAUGGACUGCCCACUUCAAGACAGUACAUUACGUAUACACUACAAGGGAGUGCUACCAAGCGAAGGUGGCAAGGUGUUUGUUGAUACCCGAAAUGACAACGAAGGCGGAGAGCCAUUGGUUUUUGCUACAGGAGAAGGACUGGUAUGCUUCGAAUAUAUCGCAUUGGAAGCUGAAAAUGUUGUUUAUGACAGGUUCCUGAAGGUUUGGAAAUUUGCAUUAAACUUAUGCUACCCGGAGAGCUUGCUCUUAUAACUUGUUCUCCUGAAUAAGGUGAGAAAACCCGUUUGCUAUGGUAUUUAACCAUCUUUUGGCAGGCCAAAACUUGUUCCAGAGAAUGCCCAAAGGUGGAGCUUUUAAGCUUUGACACUGUGAAGGUAAACUUUUAUUCUAUGUGCUUUUGUUCUCGGUAUGAUUUUGGACCGGCAGGAUUGGACUGGGUACAAUUUCAAGGAGAUAAUGGAUGAUGCCACUAAAAUGAGAACUACCGUAUUGUGUAAUUCGAGUAGUAUUUUAUCAUCUAAUCUUCAGUUUACAGGGCAAUCGGUUAAAGGCGAAAGCUAAAUACGAAAAGGUAAUCUUCCUAUCUUUUAUUCUGAAUAUCCCAAAGCCCUUCUACACAGAUUAGAGUUUAAACACGUGAAAAUAAGGCGGGAUACACUCCAGACACCACUCUCAUGCUUCACGACGUGGGGGACGAGCAAAAGAAGCGCUUGCUCUCAUAUCACAGCGAGAAGAUGGCGAUUGCAUUUGGGUUGAUCAGCACAGCCCCAGGAACUUCGCUGAGGAUCAUCAAGAACUUGCGCGUGUGUGGGGACUGUCACACUGCCACCAAGUUUAUCUCCAAGAUCACGGAAAGAGAGAUUGUCGUGAGAGACAGCCAUCGCUUCCAUCACUUUGACAAUGGGGGAGACUAUUGAUAAUUCAGGUAAGUUUUAAUCUAAUUUAUUUUUAAAAUAAGGAACAAAGCAAAAAGGUGGUUAAAAAGGGAGCUUAGUUUUAUAUAAAUCCAUGAAGGUCUAUCAGAAGGAAAAACAAUGAGUUCUCACUCAAGUUCUUCGAUCGAUCAUCCAUCCCCAAAUUCCUUGAAGCCAACUUGGUCUAACAAGAGGAAGCGUUCUCCACGUCCCCGUUCUUCGAAGAACCUAACUCGGUCGACCAAGAGGACGUGUUCUCCACACAAGAGGGUCCCUCUGGACCCUCCAGCCUUGUGCUCUCUCAUGGAUCUGGAAGGAUCCGAGAUGGAUCAAGCAAGUUUCUUUGAACUUAGAGAACCCAGAGAGGUGGACAACGAACUCGUGAUGAAGCAAGAACCACUUGAAGAGUUAAGAUUGGAUCAAGUUUCUUGCUCUGAGGUCGACUGGGGGGAACUUCUCAAAGAUCUCUAGUUUGAUGAAAAUUGGUCAUCAAGAGAUGUUUUGUAAAAAUAAAACAUUUUUAAUAAUUUAAUUUGAGCCAAGUUGACAUCCCUGGGCCAGUUGAAAGUAACUGUCGUCCGGCACUGCUGCUGCUGCUUUCGAUCGAUUUCUUCUCGAUCUACAGCACCAUUGAAAGCACUCGAAACAACCCAAGCAUCCACCAACACGAGCCGGGAUUUCCAAGAGCUCUGGAAAGCCUAUCAAAUUUUCCUGAACCGGCUCUCGAGAUCACUCGCAAAAGAUGGCAACGAUGGACUUCCCUGGUGGUAUAACAUCAACCCGCACUUUCCAUGGCCCUCCUUUCCAUUUCUGCGGCCUCCAAUGCUACCACCACCGCCACCGCCACCUUUGUGCCCACCACCACCGCCGCCAGUAAACUUCACCUCCAGCGAUGUCGAUCGAAUCAACCUUGCUCUCAACGUUCACUAUCUCCAAGCCGAGUUCUUCCUCCAUGCAGCGUUUGGACACGGGCUUGACAAAGUUAAUGCAAAGCUUGCCGAGAAGGGGCCACCGCCUAUUGGAGGCCGCAAAGCUCAACUCUCUAUACAAAUGGAGCAUGUUGCCAAAGAACUUAGGCUCCAAUCUACAGGUCAUAUCAGGUAGUUAACAUUUCUUCCUCUCAAGUUUUUUUUUCUAAAGUUGUUUUCACACAGGGCAAUCCAUGAUAAGCUGUCGGCCCCUGCUAAACAUCAAUGCUGGAGUGUGGAAUUCCCUCAUCAGCAAGGCUCUCGUUCACAAUCACACAGAAGUUGAUGGUGGUUCUUUGCAGUUUGAUCCGUACGAAAACGACGCAAACUUUCUCAUUGCUGCAUAUGUGAUUCCGUACAUUGGCCUUAACACGCUCGUAGGUUCGAGCAAUCGAGUGACUGGCAUUCAAGCACGAAAUGUAACAAAGAAUUACAAGAUUUAAUGAAGAUUUUCAAGAGAUUCUUUGUUUCUAGUUGUCCGGAUUGAUGGGAAUCCAAGCCGGCCAGGACGCAGUGAUCCGGACACUGCUCUUCGAGAUCAUGGAAAACAAGUUACCUCCGUACAACGUCACAGUCAAAGUUGACAGGCCUCGUCUCGGAUCUCCGUCGCAAGCUUGAUCACACAAGAAAGGCCGACAAGGACUUGAGUGUGCAUCAAAACCGUGGAGCCGAGAAGCAAGUAAACGGGAAUCUGAUCUCCACGAAUGACUACUCCAUGGCCAUCUCGAGACCAAGUUCUCCAAGUUUUGUACGGAACAGGGAGACGCUUCCGUACCGGGAUUGUUCUUCCCCAAGGGGGCUAACGCUGACAUCUUUCUCAAACCCAGGGGCCCAAACUUUAGUGUGAAUGACUUUUUGCCUUUCCAGAAGUUCUAGCAAAUGAGAUUCAAAACUUAGGAUCAGCUGAGGAAACCUUCUUGUAAAAACAAACGGUGUCUCCUUCCUUGAGCGAGUGCUCCCUCACGUAAUGAAUCCAGUGUGUUGUGAUCAGGCUCCCGGUUUUCCCCUUCUUGCACCGGAGCUCCCAAACUCCGCCCUCUUCGUCCACAAAUUCCACGAGAACCUUUUGAUCAUUCGGGAGAAUUGACUCGUACUUGACCGGGAUGAGCAAUCUGUGCAGGCUAUUCACGUCGCUGGCGGUCAGCUUCUUGUCAAAAAGUAGAGCCCAACGAGAUGGAUCGCAGGUGACGAGAGGAUCCUCGCGUUUCCGGGGUCUCCACUUGUGACACUUCGUUUUCUUGGUGUCUCCCGCCGGCUGAAUCGCGCCAUCUUCACCCGAGGACGAGGAAUCUUUCACCUCAUCGGUCCUUGAACCGUAAUCUCGAUCGCCCAUCUUAAGUUUCUUUACCUUUUGUCCCAGUUGUUGACAUUCGUCCAUGACCACCACCUUUCUUCGUUUCUUCUCAUGUAGCUGCCCAGCUUCCUGGUUAAUCACUCGUCUUUUGCUGUUGGAAUCGGGCUCGCUGGUGCUCAUAUCCGCCGUGAACCAAAGUAGAGCCCUCCAGAGCAUGGAUUUCCGUGGAGACCGCUUCCUUCUCAGGACAAACUUCGAAAAACUUGGCUGCAAGGCUGCAGCGUCCGCAAGAACCAACAGUCCAGAAAAAUCUUUGCUUGUCAUCUCACCACUAGUGAAAAAACCCUUUGCUUUAAUCCAAACCUAUACACUAUUCACUGCCUUUUAAAUAAAAGUUAAGCAAAAGGGGGUUAAAAAUCUUGGCGACGCCUACGUGGCAAAAGGCUUUGAUUUGAAAUCCCUAACAAUCUCCCGGGCUCUUCAAAUUUUCGUCGAUCGAUCGAUCGAUCGGAGGAAAGAUUGUGUGCCAGUUACUAUAUAUCGCGAUGAGGAGCGCAUUGGGUCUUUCGGGCCAAUUGAUGAGAUGCCGGUCCUCCCCGGCGACCAGCGCAAAUGGUGUGGUCAUCGGCGCCACCGAGCAGCUUCAAUCCUCUCAGCACUCCCGCCGCUGCCGCCGCCGCCGCCUGGAGUGGCAUCGACUUGUAGAGAUUUCAGGAAGCUCUUGCUCAGUCGCCCAUAUGUAAACACGAGUCUCCCUCCUUUCUCUUCGAUCUUUCGCAUUUAAAUGGGCGAUGUCGAAUCGAUUGGAUUUCAAUGGGGGUGAUUCACAAACAGGGGAGGAAGAGGGCUGAUCCCGAUAAUUCGAUACAAGCACGAUCCUAUCGUUUUUUUUCUUCCGUAGGUUCUCCAGUACACGAGCUAGAACAAACAUUUUUCCAGGCAACUUAACCCAGCCCCCACCGCAUGCAAAAUUGUUAUGUGGAUAUAGAUGAUGUAAAGAUUCAGUGAUUUGAAUUUUAUAAAAUUUGAGAUUCAAUAACUAUUUGAUUCAAUCUACCAAACUCUAGCUAACCAUGGCCCUUGAGAUGCCAGGGCCUCCACUGAUCUGGAGUUUGCUCUCAUCUUGUUCUCUUGUCAGGUUUGCAUUACAUCAGUCUGGAGCUUACUUUCAUCUCAUUCUCUUAUCAGGUUUUCAUUACACUGGUCAAGAGAUUGCUUUAAUAUUGUUCGCUCGUCGGUGGAAUUUCAUCAGGCUCUCUUAUCAGGUGUGACCAGUCUAGAGCUUGCAUCAAAUCCACUCACAGUUUCAUAGUUCACAUCAGGAGCAAGUUCAUCAAAUCAUGCAACAAUUGCUCACCGAUUGGGUGUGUUUUCAUGCUCAAUGAGUGAUAUGGUUUUGUAAUUAUUUUUUUUUAAUAGCGCUCUUUGCUCCUGCUGGAGCUGGCAAAGCUGGAGAAUCAGUGGAGAUGGACCUAUAGUGUUUCGAUCAUGACUAUGGUGCUUAUUUUGCUAGCCAUACAUGCCACACUUGCGUUACAUGGAUCAAGAGGGAAAUGAGCCAAGCGAUCUACUCUUACUUGCGUGUAAGAGGCCUUUGCGUUCCAGGCUCUCAACGCAAUCGUCGAACAUUUGCUACAGCGACUUGAAUUGGAUCCCAAGGUCGUCCUGAAGCUUUCUGGAGCUGAAUCCCUUGAAAUUUGCCGGCCACCGGACCUCGAUCCUGCAAGAAAGCAAAGGAAUGAGUAUAAAACAGCGGCAGAAAACUAAAUUUUUGUUUGCGUGAUCUUACUCGUCGGUAGAGGCGAUUUUGUGCUUGGGAUACCUCUUGGACAUGAAGCUGGCGAGCUCGAUCGCACUCAUGUUGAUAGCAGAGCAAACGUAUCUUCCACUGGCUUUGGGAUUUGUGUAGGCGAGGAGGUGAGCUUCAGCAACGUCGUCGAGAUGGACGUAUCCAGCGUGAUCUAUCCACUGCUUGGCUCCUGCAGUGAGGUUGGAAUCUCAAAAACGUCCUUCUUCUGUUCUUCCGAUAUAGAAAGGCUUGCCUUGGAGCAGCCGGAGAAUAUCGGCAGCGCUUGCGGUGGCCCUGGACGAGAGAAGUUCUCUGGGAGCGAUUGUGAUCACAUCUAUGCCGCUUUCUUUCCCAAACUCGAGUGCUGCUUGCUCGGAUAGAGUCUUUCCCAGACCAUACCACAUCUAGACUUCAAAAGCUUUUUAAGAAUUGGUCCUUUGGAAAUAAGACACUUGCCUGAGUCUCACGGCAGCAGUCUGGGGAGCUCCACACCGAUUCGUCCAAGACGUCAUCGGGCUUGAAGUCGUUCCUCACGCGGACAGCAGUCACGGAUGACGUGCACACCACUCGCUUGACUGUCGUAGAUCUCUUGCAGGCAUCGAGCACGUUUAGAGUUCCAAGUAAGCAUGGAUCAACAAUCUCGGUCUGGAAGAAGAACCGUAAACAAAAACAACCAGUAAAAGUUUGUGAUACAAGACUAGACCGAAUCGAAGGAGUCAAGCAAAGUUACCUGUGGAUCGUCCUUGUAGCUGAGAGUCACGUCCUUCUCAGCGACGAGCACGGUCGGCCUGGGCGUCACGUCUUUCACUGCACUACUCGGACGAGCGAGGGCGUGAUUAUGGAAUCCACUCGGCCGGAGCUUGGCGGUUCGUUUCAGUAUUUCUAUCGUGUUUUAGGAAGUGGUGAGCCAAUUAAGCUGGUGCUUGGAAAGAGCAAGAUGAUUCGAAGGCUGGGAAGAAGGACUACUAACUGUCCCCAAAGGUGAAAUUGUGAUGGUGGGGAAAUUCAGUAGCAUCUCUUUGUUUCUCAUUCAUACUCGAUGAUGGUUUCCCAGCUUAAAAUCUUACCUGAGUUUCACUAUGGAGAUCCCGACCGUCCGGUUAGUGCGCGAGAAGACUUCCCGAAACAUUCUAAUUUUUGAGAUCGACAUGCUUGAGAUCCGACCUGUGAAGGUCAGUACUAAAAGGCUUUGCUCUUUUCUUUCUUGACUCGAGCUUUUGGUCGUUGUUUUCAGGUGAUCACAGAUGACUUUGGGGUACUCAAGCAGGUUCGUAUAUACUCGGUUUGCAAGCUCCAAAGUUAACUCAACCUGUAGGUUCUCCGUGAGAGCGAGGGAUUCGAGACUGCACGGGAGCCAUACGAGAUAAAAGUUUGGUGUGUACUGUCCCUUCAUCUUUUGGUGUGCUAACAAAAACGCCUUACUCUAGGAUAACCGGAAGUGUAAACGGAGAAGUGUUCUUCAAUCACACCAAGGGCAAUCCAUUCGAAUUUUGCUUUGGCAAAAAAGAGGUAUAAUAUCUCUAUCUUUGCGCGUCAAACUCGAGUACAAUGUUUGCCUUGGCCUUGAGAAAGGCAUAGGAACAAGGACAAAAUGGGAGAAGGCUAUUGUAUACGUUACCACAGAGUAUCUUACUCCAUCGUCCGCCAUUCCCGAUCUACCUGUUACUUCCGGUGAAGUGGCAUUUGAAGUAGAAGUAGUUCAAAUAAUACAGGUAUGAUGUUUUCUAUUUCCUGAUGGUUAAAGCGCGUAUUUUUAAGGUGCGAGACAUGUUUGGCGAUGGCUGCGUAGUGAAGCGGCGCAUCCGUGAUGGAGUAGCCAUGGACUGCCCACUUCAAGACAGUACAUUACGUAUACACUACAAGGGAGUGCUACCAAGCGAAGGUGGCAAGGUGUUUGUUGAUACCCGAAAUGACAACGAAGGCGGAGAGCCAUUGGUUUUUGCUACAGGAGAAGGACUGGUAUGCUUCGAAUAUAUCGCAUUGGAAGCUGAAAAUGUUGUUUAUGACAGGUUCCUGAAGGUUUGGAAAUUUGCAUUAAACUUAUGCUACCCGGAGAGCUUGCUCUUAUAACUUGUUCUCCUGAAUAAGGUGAGAAAACCCGUUUGCUAUGGUAUUUAACCAUCUUUUGGCAGGCCAAAACUUGUUCCAGAGAAUGCCCAAAGGUGGAGCUUUUAAGCUUUGACACUGUGAAGGUAAACUUUUAUUCUAUGUGCUUUUGUUCUCGGUAUGAUUUUGGACCGGCAGGAUUGGACUGGGUACAAUUUCAAGGAGAUAAUGGAUGAUGCCACUAAAAUGAGAACUACCGUAUUGUGUAAUUCGAGUAGUAUUUUAUCAUCUAAUCUUCAGUUUACAGGGCAAUCGGUUAUUUAAAGAAGGGUUGGCGAAAGCUAAAUACGAAAAGGUAAUCUUCCUAUCUUUUAUUCUGAAUAUCCCAAAGCUGUUCUGAUUAACCAGGUACGCACAAUUAAUUCUGUUCUUUCUCUAACUUUGGAUAUGAAUAUGCAGAUGCUAGAAGUAAAUCCUUGUCACUCGAAAGAACUGUACCGCCGAGGGAAUGCUUUUAUGGGAAUGGGGGAUUUUGACGACGCAAGGAAGGAUUUCGAAAAGGCAAAAGUAUGUAAUAGUUAGAGGCAUGUGUUCUUACAAAUAUCUUGCAGAUGGCCAGUACAGACAAGUCGUCGUAAGUGCACGCAAAAGCUGCUCUAUCCACACUGAAAAGGAAAGAGCAGGUUGGUAGUUAGCAAUUGACCUUCAUAAUUCUGCUCAUAAUAUUUCUGUGGCACAGGAAGCAAAUGCUAGAGUUCGGAAGCAGUUUCAAGGGCUCCUUGACAAGAAGCCAGGUGAACUAUCUAAAGAGACGCUCGAGCCAAGAGAGGUAGCUGAGAACAGUGCGCGAUCCGAAGAGCAGCAGCCUGAGGAAAUUGUUAAUCCACCUUCCUCUUUGAGGCAACGAAUGAAAACUAUUUGGAACGCUGGGAGGAGUUUAUGGAGAGGCCAAAAAUGCGUGUCAUUUUGUGAGCGGUACGUUGGCGCUGUUCUGACGUUGGUUGUAUAAUACUGGUUCUUUUUUGUAGGUGGAAUCACGGGCUUGUAGGAAUACAAUACAUACAACACAUGGCAUGGUAUGGUGUUUUAGAGACGGAGCUUAGUACGUCGUUUCUGCGGUUUCCGAAUGGUUGCUUGGUUGUCAUGUUUCUUUAGUUUCUUUGAAAUCUUGUUUCCUGUGACGUGUGGCAUCCAUGAUAGUGCUAGUCUUGACUUUGUAGCUGACAGUCUUCCGUUGAGUGUCGAGGACUUCCGGGUCAAGCGUUUGUGUGAGAAAAGGCAGGAAAAAGAAAGGAUGAAAACAAUUAAAAGACUUCCGUUUGAUUGUAGCGUGGGGCUAAUGGCUGUGUCUUGAAUGCAGGAUAUCUUUGUUCAACUAUACGAGCCGUGGCACGGCCCAAAAGGACCUGCUUAAUAAAACAAGAGUCUGACAGUGAUGUCUGGACGGUGAAGGACCCAGUAGGCUCUGUGGUAUCACCCAACUCCAAUUUAAACGGCGCCAGUUGCUGCGGAGGAAGGGAAGGAUGGAAGAGCGCUCCCGUCUUGCUCGUGAGCCAUCCGAGUCCUCAGAACAUGGAAGGAAGGGUCUGUUCGAUUCAGCUAGAAAUCUGGAAGGAAGACUUUCAGGAGGUAAUUCUUCAGCACCAGGAGCACCAGCAGCACCAGCAGCAGAAGCCGAGACAGUUCCUGGCAGAAGAAAGAAGAACUACAACAAGUAUGUUGUGUUUUGCACAUUGCUGGCUUCUCUCAACUCUAUACUGCUUGGAUAUGGUACGUUCUUCUUCUUCCUUUGGAUAUGUGUUGGAUCUCAUUACUUUCCGUGCAGAUAUUGGUGUUACGAGUGGUGCCUUGCUGUACAUUAAAGAUGACUUCAAGCUCAACAGCGUACAGCAGGAAAUGCUGGUUGGUAUUCUCAACCUGGUGUCUCUCGUGGGUGGGCUCAUGGCUGGGAAGCUGGCCGAUGCGGUUGGAAGAAGGAAGACAAUGGCUACAGCCUCUGUGAUCUUCUUCGUUGGUGCCUUGCUCAUGGCAUUAUCUCCAUCGUACGCAGUGCUCAUGGGGGCACGAGUUCUAUCGGGAGUUGGGGUCGGCUUUGCUAUGAUCAUCGCUCCAGUGUACACGGCAGAACUGUCUCCUCCCGGAAGCAGGGGAUCCUUGGUGUCGUUUGCCGAAGUUUUUAUCAACACUGGGAUCCUGGUUGGCUAUGUAGCGAACUUUGCACUCUCUCCGCUUCCCCAGUGGCUGGGAUGGAGGCUGAUGCUGGGACUCGGCGCCGUCCCUGCGGUGUUCCUGGCUUGCGCCGUGCUGGUGAUGCCCGAGUCUCCUCGCUGGCUGGUGAUGCAAGGCAGAGUCUCUCAAGCCAAGACCGUUCUCAUCAGAACUUGCGGCGGGAACAAGGGCGAGGCGGAGUCGAGGCUCACGGCGAUAGUAGAGUCACUGGGGGACGAGUACGAGGCAGAGAAACAAGAGGUCCGGGACGAGCACACCUCAAAGAUGGACCCGGAAGCCGAUCAUCCGGCUGAGCUGCGAAAGCUCCCGUCGGUGGCUUCGUCGACCACCGAGCAGAGGAAGCGGAUGCUCAAAGCAAAGAAAAAAGCAGGUAGCAACGUCUGGAAGCAGCUACUGCUACCAUCGGCUCCGGUGCGCAGGAUGCUACUGGUGUCACUGGGAAUUCAUUUCUUCCAGCAGGCAUCCGGCGUGGACGCUCUCGUGUACUACAGCCCCACGGUGUUCGCACAGGCGGGGAUGAAGAGCAGGACGAGCGUGCUGGGCAUGACCAUCGCGGUCGGCCUGACGAAAACUCUCUUCAUCCUGGUGGCCACCAUCUAUCUCGACACCGUGGGACGCAGGACGCUGCUCCUGGCCAGUGCCACCGGGAUGACCAUCGCGCUCACCACGGUAGCGGUGACGUUCCGCUUCCUUCACGUCGGUGCCAAGGUGGACAUGAGCAGCUCACAGCACGCGUCAGUGGCGUUGGUGGUCAUCGCCAUGCUCGCCAUCUGCGGCUUCAUGGCGAGCUUCUCCAUUGGAUUGGGGCCGACGGUGUACGUGCUCACGUCGGAGAUCUUCCCGCUCACUCUCAGGGCACGGGCGAUGAGCCUGUCCAUCGGGAUGAACAGGGGGAUCAGCGGGACCGUGGCGCUCACUUACUUGAGCCUGGCCGAAGCGCUCACCACGUCCGGGGCCUUCUUCGUCUACGCCUCCAUCGCGUUUGCGUCCAUCGUUUUUGUAUUCUUCGUGGUGCCCGAGACCAAAGGCAAGUCGCUGGAGGAGGUUUGUAAGUAUUUCGGGUGGCAGCCGGACGAGGGAGGUGGCGGCCAAGAGCUCAGAGAGGUUUAAACGUGGAAGUUGGAUUCUUAAAGCAUGCACGUCAAUGAUCGUUCGUAUUGUCCAGUGUUUCUCUUCGCGUUGAGAGUUCCUUGGCCCGUUGUUUUGCACUUUGCUUUUUUGAGUUGUUAAUUCUUGAUCGCCGCUAGCCUUUCUUUUAUCUUUGAUCAUACCUCAGCUCGUUGCAAGCAGCUUCGCUUUCUUUACUCGCUUGUUGCUCACGCAAAGAAAAGCCCUACCUAAACGAACUUACCGUGUGAAGUGGCCUACCUGGGCAGCAAAGCUAAAAAAGGGGAAACGAAGCAACUUAAUUAGUUGUCGCUAGUAGCGGGAGGGGAUGAGGAAUCCUGCUGAUCGGACAGCCUGCUGGAUGGCUUGUGGACGGACUUGUGCUGUACUUUUGGUGGUCCUAAGCGAAUUGAAGGAGCAAUGUUUUUCACAAUAUCCACCUUGGGGAAAAAGAGCCGUGAUUAUGAAUUUGAUGCUUCUAGCAUUAUGUUCAUGAGAUUUGAUCCUUCGUAUCGAUCAAACAUUUCUUUGGCUUCAUCUCGUGCUGUGCUGCAAUUUCAACCACGCCACCAUGUCUACAUCUCCAAUCUGCAUGAAGCUCGCCAGCAAAAUGCAUUUUUUGUCCACAGCUGAGCUGGAAUUAAACAAUUCGCAAGCUACCAUGCCCGUGAGAGAUCUAUAGCAUUAGCUUCCUACUUCAGUUAGAUCGUCUGGCAGUCCAGAUCUCUUUCGGUGUCUUUCCUUCCAUCAUCCGAUCUAGAGUCGACUGGUCAAGUCCACCUCAAGGCUUUCAGCUGCCGACGUGAGCUCACACAACGUUUUGGUGUCUAGCGGGACGAACUUCUCAUCGAAAAACUUCCUCUCCUGCAAAAGAAAAAGGAAGAUCUCAAGUCACCAAACCAUGAAUUCCAACCAGCUAUGUGACCUUAUUGGACCGGGAAGUGGCAGUACGUACUCGAGUAGCAACUGGGAUUAACUUGACUUGUCCAUGAGACAGCAACCAUUGAGCAAGACCUCGCGGUGGAUGAGAGGUAUUCCACCUGGUUUCGCCGGGGCCCGUGAAGAAAAACUUUGGCGCAAACGAUGCCCAAUGCGGGCAUAUGCAAUCACCAUCGCAGUCCAGGUCACCACGUCCCUCUCCUGCAGAGAAUCAAAGGUGUUUCCAUCCUCAGCAACGCGAUUGUCAUCGCAAAAGGCCUGUAACAGGAUUUUCCAGGAGAAGACAUUGGGAUCCUGAAUCGUGUGAAAGGCCUUCAAUAUGCCCAAACCAGGCAUAUAGUGAUAGCAAGAAGAAUGUGAAUUGCCGGUGCCUAGCUCGUCGAUCCGGCACGCUUCCCUGUGCACGAGACUUGCGCUGCUCCUUUCGCAGUUGCUCAUCAACUAUUUGCCAGACUCCAGAGCCAAACAGGGCUUGGACGAUAAGGGCUUUUGAUACCCAGUGGCGUGCCAGGCUCUGGGCAGCAAGCUCUACCUUCUUGGGGGAUGGAGCUGCAGGAAAUAGCGUCUUUGUUCACACACGAAUCGAUGGCAUUGCCACUCCAUCACCAUCGCCAGAUGGAGACCAUAGCCUUCAUCGCCCUCCCAAAGCUGUGAUGUCGAUUCAUAUAGUGGUGCCGUGGGAGCGCAAUGUAGUUUUGCACAUUGAUAUACUUGCGGGGGAGUGGAACCACGACAUUUGUAAAAUCAGCUUCUAAAAUCAGCUCUGUUUUUUAACUUCGUAUUCCUUUCACUCAAAUGUUCUCUGAUUCAGUAAGAGUUAGGCUGAGAUCAUGGUGUUCCAGAGAAUCACGUCCCCUUCUUCGGGACAGCUUCUCAAAGGAGGUAUGCGGGUGUGUACUCCCUUCUUCCACAUUGUUUUCCUUGAGAGCUUUGUUCUCGUCUCUAGAGCUCAAAAAGCAAGGUUUUUCAUCUCCAAUCCAAUUUGCAGGCGCUAGUUUCGUUCAAGGUGACAUACAUUGAUUGAGAUUUAAGGAAGCCCAAGAUUUUGCAAGGAGACUAAAUGCUGACUGGCCCAGCCGGAUGCAAGACUUAGCAUCUUGGAGCAACCAAGAACACAGGCUGUGGACACCAAUGACGACAAGUCCAACACAUAAUUAUUGUUAGCCAAAGACACAAGAGCUUGUUGGAUAAUCUCAUUUUUUCUUUUUUCUAGUUCAAAUAACUUUUUCUUCUUCUUUGUUUCUAUACAAAACAUUAACAGCAAAAAUCCAUGCAAGGGUUAAUUAAAGUUGUCCAUGCAAGGAAAUGUCCAUUUAGUAAAAUCUGGUUUUUGGAUCUGGUUGGAUUGUUCAAGUCCCUGUCAUACAUAAAAAAGACCACGGUUGUGAAAACAUCCAAUCAUGAUGUUCUUAGUCUAAUAAUCUAGCCUUGCCAAUACCUCCCAUAGCUCUUUGGCUUGGCGUGGAUUUAUCCAGAUCCCUCACUCACCUCUGUCCCUCUAGAACGCAUGUCAAUGUCAUGUUCCGUUGUGGCGUAUCUCAGCCAUGGAAAAGAUUGAUGGCUGGUUCCAACUCGACCCCAUCAACCUCCACAGCAGAGCACAGUGACAUGUUUGGAAAAGCCCGAAGUAGAGAAGGCCCUGGAGAUUCAAGAAGAAGAUGAGUACCCCUCUUAUCUCAGCUCGCGAUCUUGUUCAUUGCCCAUGGUCACCAACAUUAGUCACAAACAAAACUUGCCUCUUGGUAUUAAAAUGGGAAAAAAAUGGAUCAUUACUACUGUUUUAAGUUAUUGCAUUACAUUGAGAUUGUUAUUAUUUACAAUUGAUAUUUGUAACUAUAAUUUAAGACACAAUAGUUUUAUAAAUUUAAGAUUUAAAGUCAAAUUAGAAAUUUUAUUAAGUUGUUCAAUUUAUGACUAAAUUUUAAUAAAACAAAAAAUAUGUAGUCAUUAAUCAAUUAUAAUAGUGAUAAACCAGAAAAUAUAUUGUUGUGAGUUGUUGUCAUCCAUGAGUUUGUUGCUACCAAUUACUACUCCUAGCAAUCACUACAUGACUGAUCUUUGCUCACAUUCCUAGAGCUAAAUUGCACUAGGGCUUUGCCAUGCGAUUUAGAGAUGGAAAUCUCUCAAUUAGUAAGUUGCUGGAGGUAUGGCAGCCAUAUAAACUUCACAAACAUGUGAAGAAUAAGGUAGCCCUGGAACCAGCCAAUUCCUGUGAACCCUCCCUGCUAUAAAUUGGAGCCUCCUCUCUCACAUCUCCACAAAUCGACAAUCACAACUGAGGUCCACUCUACAAAUUUGGAGCUCUUCCAUCUCUAAUUCCAGUUCUAAUCCCAGUUCUCCUAAUAGAUUCUAAAAAAUCGAGAGAAUCGAUAGUCACCUGCUGUCGAAAGCUCUCCCCAAUUGCUGAUCGAUUUUUGCGCCCUCGAUCCAAAUGGCAAUGACGUUACCUCUAUAGAUCCAUGAUCCUCUGUUCUUCGAAGAUGAUGACCAAUCCGUUGGUGAGGUCGCAAUUCCCAAUUUACCGAGGACGAGAUCCUUGCCUGCAUGGAAUGCCUAGGCAUGAUCCACGCCUUCGUCAUGCCCUUUGUGCUCAAUGCCGCCACCAAGCUCCGGGUCUUCAACAUCGUCACGCACGCCGCAAUUCCUCCCACCACGGAGGAGAUCACGGCCAAAAUCUCCUCCUCGUCCUCAUUCGCCGCUGAUCAAACGAUCAAACUCAUCGAUCAAACGCAUCGCCGCUGUCGAGCACGACCUCACGGGAAUCUCCACGUGGCUGGCGCCAGGUCGGACUACCUCGCCGCUCGCUAUGGAAAUGCAUGCCAGGUUCAGGCGUCGUGGCAGAGGCUCCACGAGGUCGUGCUCGACGGCAGCGAUGCGUUUGAUUGAUGCGUUUGAUCGUUUGAUCGGCGGCGAAUGAGGACGAGGAGGAGAUUUUGGCUGUGAUCUCCUCCACGGUGGGAGGAAUUGCGGCGUGCGCGACGAUGUCGAAGACCCGGAGCUUGAUGGCGGCGUUGAGCACAAAGGGCGUGACGAAGGCAUGGAUCAUGCCCAGGCAUUCCAUGCGGCCAAGGAUCUCGUCCUUGGUAAAUUGGGAAUUGCGAACCUCGCCAAUGGAUUGGUCAUCAUUGUCGAAGAACAGAGGAUCGUGGAUCGAUAGAGGUGAUGUCAUUGCCAUUUGGAUCGAGGGCGCAAAAAUCGAUCAGCAAUUGGGGAGAGCUUUCGACAGCAGGAGACUUGCACUUGCGAUCAAUUCUCUCGAUUUUUUAGAAUCUAUUAGGAGAACUGGGAUUAGAACUGGAAUUGGAGAUGGAAGAGCUCCAAAUUUGUAGAGUGGACCUCAGUUGUGAUCGUCGAUUUGUGGAGAUGUGAGAGAGGAGGCUCCAAUUUAUAGCAGGAAGGGUUCACAGGAAUUGGCUGGUUCCAGGAAUGGCACCCGGUAUGUAAAACCUUCGCAUUUGUUUUUUUCUUUCUCGGAGGUGGCAGGGUUGACCAGCGCCAGUCAAACUCUCACUGUUUGCCGGUCAAACGUGGUGGUAUGGAACUUUUACACCAAGUUUUGUUUCACUUGGACACGAAAUAAUCGCAAGCAUCGUAUAAAGAGUGGAAAUUAGAAAAGAGUUUUUGCGGAGACUGGGUCGCUGCAGCGAUUGACACAAAUUUGGGUUCGUCUUUGACGACUACACAAUCGGCACGAAUUCUGCAUUGAAGACAUGCGAGCGAAGAUGGUUUGAAUGGAUGUUCGAGUGUACAUUUUAGAAACUAGUGUCAAACGAUUUAGACAGGCAUUGAUGACAAAGGUAUUCUACACAUGGACUCUAAUCUUGUUUUCUCUUUUCUUGGAUGCUCGAUCACAAUCACAGACACUUUAUUCCAGGAGGAUUUCUUUAGCAUGAAAGUCAACUAUCAAACUCGAGUUAUGAGGCCUUUGCGUUCGAAGCUGUCAACGCAAUCGUCAAACAUUUGCUCCAGCGACUUGAAUUGGAUCCCAAGAUCGUCCUGAAGCUUUGUGGAGUUGAAUCCCUUGAAAUAUGGCGGGGACAAGACUUCGAUCCUGCAAGCAUGCAAAGGAAGGGGAAGUGCGAAAAAAAUAGGAAAACUUUGUUGCGUGGUGUCACUCUUGGGGGGGGGCGGUUUGGUGCUCGGGAUAGGUCUUGGACAGGAAGCUGGCGAGCUCGGUAGCUCAUGUUGAUCGCACAAACAUAUCUUCCAGUGCCUUUGGGAUGCGUAUAGGCAGGGAGGUGAGCUUGAGCAACGUCGUCGAGAUGAACGUAUCCAGCCUGAUCGAAACAGUUUCCGUGGCUCCUACAAUGUGUUUGGAAUCUCAAAACUAUUUUUGUUCUGCUUUCGAGAUCACUCGCAGUCGGAGAAUAUCGGCAGCGCAUGCGGUGGGGUGGCCUUGGACGAGAGAAGUUCUCCCACGACGCUGGGAGCGAUUGUGAUCACCUCUAUGCCGUUUUCUUUCCCAAACUCGAGUGCUGCUUGCUCGGGUAGAGUCUUUCCCAGACCAUACCACAUUUGGACUUGAAAAACUUGUAAGAAUUCGUUCUUUCUUGCUUGUGGAAAUAAGAAUCUUACCUCAAUCUCACGGCAGCAGUCUGGGGAGCUCCACACCGAUUCAUCAAGUCGUUCCUCGCACUAACAGAAGCCACGGAUGACGUGCACACCACUCGCUUGACUGUUGUGGAUUGUUUCCAGGCAUUGAGCACGUUCAGAGUUCCAAGUACGCAUGGAUCAACAAUCUCGGUCUGGAAGAAGAACCAAAGACAAGAAAAAGCGAACCAGUAAAAGUUCGAGAUACAAGACUAGACCAUAGCUGGCAGAGAGCUGUUGAAUCGAAGGAGUCAAGCAAAGUUACCUCCUUGUAGCUGAAAGUCACGGCCCGCGAGAUGGAAAACUUGGACAAUAUCGUCAAAGGCGCCUAAUUCCGUGACAAGGUCGGCCUUCUUUCUCUCCCCCGGAAGCUCGCACAAACAACAAAAGCAAUUUCUAAGUAGAAUCGAUUAGCCUAAGUACCCUGACAACGUGAUGUCCCUCCUUCAGUAGCCGCUUCACGAAGGAAACCAGAUGCCCAAACCUUCUUCUCGUUCGCCAUCGCCAUGGAAUGACCCUAAAGUUGAACACGGUUCUCUCUCACAAGAAUUAUCAGUAACCGGGAAACAGUGCUUUUUAACUAUUCAAUGCUGGACAAUGCAAUGGAACUUUCAUUCCCUUCGCUUGAGCGAUGAUGUCUAUUAACCUGUAAAGCUAAAACAUAAAUCUGGGAUGAUUCAUCUACCUGGUAACUAAUAACAGAUGCGGAAUAACUAUCACAUUGUCGGGCUGGACCACCUUUCUGUCCUUUGCAGGCCAACACACAUUACAAAAGCGCAAAGAGUAAACUCCUCACUAAACUGAAUGAAAGAUUACCUGCCACUGUGUCAAGUGCCUUAAUCAACAUGGCAAAGGUCUUGUCCGUUAUAGUAAUCAACGGAGCAAAAUCAGUAUAUGCUCUACCACAGCAAGAGUUUGGAUUUAAACCCGAGACUUCAAAGAAGAAGAGCCUUUGCCUCAAACCAACUAAGUUGGCUAAGUAACGGGUCAGCACCAAAGUCAGAGAUCAAACAAGGCUAAUGCCAACGGUCUGUUGGCAACUUACCCAUGAAAAUCCAAUACCCAACCCAAGCCAAAUAAUGCUAAUGAUUUUAGUAGUACUUGUAAAAGUUGCUUGAGAUAGAUAAAUAUAGAGUCCAUAGCUCCGAAGAGCCAUGCAGUCGUUCCUCUAAGACCUGUAUGAAUCUGCAGAAAUUGGCCUUUGAUGGAUCGCCCAGAAAGUUGUGCACGUGGAGGGCAUCCAGCAAAAACUUCAAAUAAAAGUUGGAGCAUUGUUUUUUCUUGCAGGAACAAUUGAGACAGAGAGAGAUAUUAUACUCGUCCAGAGUUAUUAGAUUAUAAUUUAAGACACAAUAGUUUUAUAAAUUUAAGAUUUAAAGUCAAAUUAGAAAUUUUAUUAAGUUGACAUUUGUAGUUGCAAUUUAUGACUAAAUUUUAAGUCAUUUAUAAUAGUUAAAAAACAAAAAAAAUGUAGUCAUUGGCCAUCUCCGCCAGCUCCUCCAGGAUCUCUGGAGUUCGAGCAUUUGUCGUGUCCCCCGUGAAGAACUCGUGGACUCUUCGCUUCACCGCAAUGGAGCUGAAAGCCGGCUCCUUCCUUAUGUUCUUCUUGUACAUGAGCCUCCCGAUCUUGCCCCCCUCGUCCUUCUUCCUGACUUCGUUGUAGAGAUUCGACAGCACCAUGUACGCCACAGAGCCAUCCGAUGUGAGCUCCAUCAAGUGCUCGGCAGACUUUCUCGCUUGCUCCAUGUCCUUGUGAACUUUGGACGCUCCCAGCAUUGUGGAGUGGAUCACCCGGUCGGGCUUGAGAGGUGCCACGGCUAUAAACUUCUCGGCAGUGUCGAGCUUGGCUAUGAGGUCCACCAUGCAGUAGUAGUGCUCGGCUCACAGGGAGAUCGUUGGGUAGUUGUGGAGGAGUGACACGAAGAGCUGGACGCCAUCUUUGACGAGACCACCGUGGCUGCAAGCUGAGAAGAGCCAUUAUUAACAACAAGUUGCUUUGAGUAAGCAUAUGCUAGGUGGCAGCCUUCUUUGCAUCAUUCAUUGUGAAAGACCAAAUUCCAGUUAAUUUUGAUGGCUAAAGUUUGCUAGGACUUGGUCAGGGAACUUAAGUAAGACCUCCUAACACUGACGCCUCCCGUUAAACACCAUCCUGAUUCACUCUCUCUCUCUCUGCUUACCUGGCAAUGACGUGGCACAGCCCUCCUUUUUGUUUUAUCUCCAGCGCACUCCCUCUCCCGUCCGUCGCCGCUGCGCACUCCCGCCCUCGGCUAUCGCCCGCCUGCGGCUCCCGCCCGCACUCCCACGUCCGCCCGCGCCCAGCGUGCGCCCUAAAAUUACUUCCACGUGGCCACAGCCCCAACACUUAGCCAAAUUUCAAUCAGCCCGCCCUAGUCCACCCAUUCACGCCGGAUGGUUGCCCCAUAAUUGACCUAAAAACGUUUCUGUUUCUUUUAUGAUCAAGCAUGGCAGCAGCACAUCAAUUUCCAGAGGUAAGCAAUCAAUUCAAUUUCAUAUUGAUUCAAGAAAAUCAUUUAGGAUGCCCCAUGGCUUGAUGAGGUGCAAGAAUUCCAUGAAAAGGAUUAUUUUUGUGUAGAUGAUUUAGAUUGGAAUUUGUCUAAAUCAAAUGAAACUAUAGCUCCUAUUGUGUAUAUAUUACAGAAGGAUGUGAACAAAUUUCUAGAUGGUGAGAGGAGAAGGGGUGAUGGAGUGGAUUUUUGGCGAUUUUCUAACAAAAAUCGUGAUUCUGGAGAUUUGAAAUGACCCAAAAACACAAGCUUUUUAUCAUUAAUCAGGUAUAUCUUUUUAACAAAAUAUAAUUACUAACUUCUUGAUACAAGUAUUGGUGUGAAUAUGGAAAACAAGAUGCUAGUGAAACAUCCUCUAUUACACCAAAGUUAGGACUUGGAAGUAGACUGGGUCGAAGUUCUAAUAAGCAGGGUUGCCUUUGCAAUUUUUUGGUCAAACAGUUUUACAAAUGGCCUGAUUAUGUUUAGAUUACAUAUUAUCAUAGAGAGCAUUGUGAUAAGAAUGGGAUUCCUUGUCAUGGUCAACUUGAUCUGACUGGAGGAAAGUCAUUAUUUCCUCAGAAGCUUUCAGCAGAUAUUCGACAUUGGGUGAUUCAUAUGAUUCAGCAGGAUUUCACAUCAAAUCAGAUUUAUAAUGAGCAUAUACAGAUUGUGGGAAGGAACAAGUCAGCUGGUGAACCUCUUCAUCGAGAUGAUUUUCUAACUAUGCAGGAUAUCAACAAUCUGCAUAGAAAGUAUUUGCUUUCAACUUAUCGAUUACAUGAGAAUGACGCAUAGAGUGUACGUAUUUGGAAGAACACAAAUCCUGAGAAAGUAUUUUUCUAUUAGGAAGGUGAUUGAGGUAAAGAUUGUUUUACUAUUGGGAUCCAGACAACUUAGCAACUACAAAAGAUGGUGAACUUUUCAAAUAAUAAUUUAUUGAGUCUUGACACAACUUUUGGAACUAAUUGCUACAAGGUAAAAUUUUCAUUCAGUUUUAAGUGAUUAAUACUUAAUAAUUUACAGUUCCCAUUAUACACCAUGCUUGCUUUUGAUUAUCAUGGAAAUGGUAUUCCAAUUGCAUGGGUUUUAACUUCUAGUGAGAAAGGAGAACAUGUGAAGAAUUGGAUGAUAGGUUUUAAAAAGCGAGUUUUAGAACACAUGCCAAAUUGGAAACCACGGGCGAUAAUGAUUGAUGAUGUUGAAGUAGAGAUUAAUGCUAUAAGGUAAUUAAUUUGAUUUGAAAUAAUUUAAUUGUUUUCUUCUAUAUAGAGCUACAUUUGAUUGUUAAAUUCUAUUAUGUAUUUGGCAUGUAAGGAGGAAUUGUCUCAAACAUAUUAUUUGUAAGGUGAAAUCUUGGGAUAUUAGGAUGGAAAUAUGGAAAUGCCUCGGAGAUAUUAUGUAUCAUUCAAUUCAUGUAGCUUUUCAUGAUGAUAAUAUUAUGCGAGUUGAGAUUAAACAACUUAUUGAACAUUUUGAGGUGGAUUUUCAAAAUGAAGUAGCCUUUAUCAAGUAUUUUCAAGACGAAUGGAAGGACAAAGUUGGUAAGUGAAUCAAUAAUUUAAUUUUUAUAAUUUAUUUUAAUUUAUAUUUGAUAGAUAUAUGGGUUGUUGCUGCUCGAAAUUUCCCUCAUGCUAACAAGGAGACAAAUAGUUCGAUUGAGGCAUUCCAUGCAAAUAUGAAAGCUAUAUUCUUGUCCGAAAAAAAACAUGCUCGCAAUCGAAGGAUGGAUUGGGCAAUUCAUCAACUUACUACUAAGGUUCAUGCGAGGUACUGGUUUACUAGUUAUUGCAAAGAUCAUGGUUUUAUCUGAAACCAUGCAUAUGAAAAACUAAUCGAUGGUGCAAUUGUUAAAGCAAUAAAUAUUAAUGACUCUCAAGUAAAAUUCGAUAAGGACAAUACUCACAAAUCCUAUGUACAAUUCUCUUCAGAUCCAGCUAUAUGGUAUCUUGUUGUCGGAGGUGAAAGACACAGUGAUUGGGUUUUUUCGACUUGGUGUAAUUGUCCGUGGGCAACCAAAAGAAACUUUUGCAAACAUCAAGCAAAAGUUAUUAUGUUAAAACAAGGAGAAAAAACUGAUUGGACUACAACUAGUUAUGAGGUUCAACCAUCACAAUCGCAUGCAAUCUUAGAACUUGGGCCAGAUGAUUUAUUUUAUCGUCAUCAAGAUUUUGAAGCACUUGACUUGGAAGCUAUGACAGAGGUAAUUCACUUAUAAAUUAAAAUUUUGAAAUACUUAUAAAAAUUUGAGCAGGAAAACAUCCAUCAAGAUGUUUAUCAUGAGCAAGAAAUUCAGUUGGAGACUACAUUAGAGGUAAACUAACAUAUUUUAUAUACUAAUAUAUAUGAAUAUUGAGCAGGAAGAUAUCCAUCAAAAUAUACAGCAUCAACAAGAAAUUCAGCUAAGGACUACUAUAGAGGUAAUUUACACUAAGUAAAUUUUAAAUAUUGAUAUGAACUUUAAGCAGGAAGAUAUCACUCCAUCAAAAGUUACAAAAGCGACAUUACAACAAAAGAUGAUGGAUAUCUUACAAGAUCUUCCUGAUGAAGAAGCUUUUUUAUUUAUGGUUGACAACGAUUUAGAAAUGAUAUAGCAAAAGGUUGCAACUUUUAAAGCCAGGCCAGACGAUCUUAUUCAUCCUGCAGCAGAAUUUCAACAGCGUGUUGAUAGUUAUGGUACAUCCUUGAAGCGAGCAAAACCUUUGGUGGAAAAAAUUACAAGUAAAAGAAAAGCUUCUAAUAGUCUAGAAGCAACUCCUUUUAUUAGGCAGAGGAAGACAAGAAAGAAAAGCUCUUUAAACGAAAAACUCAAUCUUAGCAAAGAAUAAAUAAAAAACAAACUCUUUAUAUACUUACAUUGCAUAUAUUUAAAUUAGUGAGAAGAUUUCAUAAGUUUACCACUCCUAAUGGUCAUCCAUGACACUCAUUGGCCACGUAAAGCAUGUAGGAAGGCGUCCACGCGGGCGCUGAUUGAAAUUUGGCUAAGUGUUGGGGCUGUGGCCACGUGCAAGUAAUUUUAGGGCGCACGCUGGGCGCGGGCGGACGUGCGGGGGCGGGUGGGAGUGCGGGCGAGCGGGCGGGCGAGAGCCGCGGGCGGGCGAUAGCCGCAGGCGGGAGUGCGCAGUGGCGACGGACGGGAGAGGGAGUGCGCUGGAGAUAAAACAAAAAGGACGGCUGUGCCAUGUCAUCGCCAGGUAAGUGGAGAGAGAGUGAAUCAGGAUGGUGUUUAACGGGAGGCAACACUGACACCGCCUUGUAGGCUACUUAGGACUCUAAGAAUUGCAAAGCACUCUCGGUGAUUGGACUGAGUCUUUGAAUUCAUUCAUCUUCUUGAUCUGGGAUUCUCUCUCCCAAGUCUAUGAUGUAUGCAUGAUGAUUAGAAGCCAAUGGGAAAGGUCCUGCGUAAUCAAGGCUCCACCUUGAGAAUGGUGCCUCUGGUGCAAUAGGAUGUAAUGGGAGCUUUCCCAUAGAGUCAGCCAGAAAUACCCGCCUGCAACACCUUUUGGCUGGUCGUUAGAGCAGCAAAAUGACCACCACAGUCAUGGACAGCAGCUAGCAAAAUUGGUUCUUACCUAAAAGUUUUUUCUUUUCACACCGUAAAAUCUUGAUAUGAAGUUGCACUUAUGGAGUAUAUAGAUGAAAUGAAUGUGAUGAACCUCCUUGAGAGGUCCAUCUGGAAGCCUGAUCACCACCAUGUUACAGCCUUCCAGCUGAAGUGGUCAUUUAUCGCCAAUGUAAACCUGUUAUGAAGCAUGGAGAGGCUUUUAAGUGUGAAACACAAACCUCAAGGGAGUCAUGUGAAAUGAAGCACUGCAAUCCAGCCAUAACACCUCCAGAGUAGACACUGGUGAUAGAGAAAAACUCACCUUUUCACCAAUUGCCUCUUAAAUUGUUAAUAUGUUGCCUAAAAGAUUGUUGACAAUACCUUAUAGAUGUCUGGAUUUUUGUGUGUGUAAUGCUUUGUUGACUUCAUUACUUUGGUAUGGUUAUGUACACAAUGGUAUGGGUGUGACACUUGGCAUUUAGUGUCUUGCAUGGAUGACUUGACUUGUUUGCUGAUGAGGAGACUUGUCAUCACUCAUCUCCACAAGGCCGUGGCAUGGUGGUGAUCAAGUUUCUAGAUGGACCUCUCACAUUCACUUUGUCGUAAUGCAGCCUUGGAUCAAGGCUUUACCACCACUUUUUUCACAAAAGGGUGCACAACAUGAGCUCAUCUAUAGCUAGUGGUGUUUGGUAUGAAACUCUCUACUAUUUAAUGCAGAACUAAUAUUUCCAACUUAAGUGCUUACUUUUCAAACACAUAAAAUCAUUGAGCUAUGGCACCGCCACCAACUCUGUGAAGAAAGUGGUGGUAAAGCAACAAUCAAUGGUGACGAAGUCAAUGUGAUGAACCUCUUUGAGAGGUCCAUCUGAAAACUUGAUCACCACCAUGCCAUGGCCUUGUGGAGAUAAGUGACGGCAAGUCUCCUCAUCAGCAAAUAAACCAAGUCAUCCAUGCAAGACACUAAAUGCCAAGUGUCACACCCAUACCAUUAUGUAUAUAACCAUACCAAAGUAAUGAAGUCGACAAAGCAUUACACACACACAAAUCUAGACAUCUACAUGGGUUUGUUUCAAUCCUCAUGGCAUGUCAAUGAAUGAGAUUUGCACACCUUAGCUUGCAACAAGCUCAUAGAAAGCAUCAUUUGGGCAUGUGUGAAACUGGCCAUCUUGACAAGCAAAUUUACCUUCCAUUCACAUCAAGAACCAUGAAGUAGGCUUGUUAGAUCUGAUUCAUAAUGACAUGUGCUACCUACUUAUGGAAACAUUUAGCCACAAGAGGUACUUUUUGUCUUUUAUCAAUGACCAUUCUAAGUACACUAUGGUGAGUCUUCUCUAUGCAAAGAGUGAAGUGUUUAACCACGUCAAGCUUUUCAAGAGCUGGGUAAAGACCUUUACUGGAAGGUGCUACACACGGAUGGUGGUGGCAAGUAUAUGAGCAGUGAGUUUUUGAACUUCCUGAUUGAGGCUGGCAUCAUUCAUCAGUAUACAAUAGCAUAUACUCCCCAGCAGAAUAGCAUGGCAAAGCAACUCAAUCACACUCUAUUAGAGACUAUCCUUUCCAUAUCAAGAUGGUUAAGGAUUUCUAUUCUUAGCCUUAUAUGGGAUGAUACACUAUUACCUCCAAUUAGAUGUGGCUCAUCAACUGGAUUAAGACUUACUUUGUUGCCAAAUUCAAGAUGACCAAUAUGGAAGAAUUGCACUAUUACUUGAGAGUUUAGAUAGGUAACAUGGAGUACUAAAGCUCUCCUAAGAGAAAUACAUCCAUGACAUUCUCCAAAGGUACUCUAUGCUUAAUGCUAACUUGAGUGGAUAAUCCUAUGGAAGUAGGCUCAAAGUUGUCUAAGGCUUCUAGCUUAACAUCAACUUCAAAUGACACUUUUGAAGAGGACAACACAACACUAUAUUGUUUAAUGAUUGAGAGUCUCAUCUACUUGAUAGUCUCAACUAGGCCUAACCUCACAUUUGCUGUGGGAGUACUCUCGGGCUGCUGUGAAACGGAUCAUGAGGUAUAUAAGUGGUACAAGGAAAUACACACUAAAAUACAGAAGAGGAAAUGUGUAUAACCAUAAUGUGGUUAGUUGAUGUUUCAGGAGGCAGCAGAUCACUAUGAUGUCCUUGUGCGAGUCUAAAUACAUCAGAUUUGCAACAGCAGUGAAAGAAGCCAUCUGGCUUAAAAUGUUACUGCAAGACUUAGGGAUACAAAUUUGAAUAGUAUGUUGGCAAUAGUGUUCACUUGGGAUGUGAGAUUUCACUCAUGCACCAAGCACAAUGGAACCAUCAACUUGAAUUUUGCUCAACCACCUCAAUGGUUGCCGAUAUCCUGACGAAGUCCCUGCCUCAAGUGAAACAUGAAGUCUUCCUCAAAUCUUUUCAUUUGACUGACAGUGAGAGCCUUGAGAAGGAGUGUGGAGAUGAGUGACAACAAGUCUCCAUGUCAACAAACAAAACCAAGUCAUCUAUCCAAUGCCAAACAUCACACCCACACCAUUAUGUAUGUAAUCAUACCAAAGCAAUGAAAUCAACAAAGCAUUCCACACACAAAAAUCCAGACAUCUACAUAUACUUCAUUUUUGCAACAGACCCUCCUUGGCAAGAUGCUUUGGCAGCAUCCUAGUGGAUGUUAUGCUUUAUGCUGACAAGCACCCAAUGUCCCUGUUCCUCCUAGACAAGGCUUGUAAAGAGUAUGUUGAAGACGAAUUCUUCCGCAAGAAGAGACGUUUGGGCAUUUCUCUACUGGAUCCGGAGACGGGAAAUGAACUCUACAUGACUGCCAAACUGGAAAGCCCGGAGAAGUACCUGGACGAAAAGAGAGACUGGAAAUGGUCCUGCUUACCUUCAGGACAGCUGAGCCCUUUGAAUGCAUCCGAGACUAUUCACCCUUUAAAGCUUUCAGCUGGAACACUCUGAUUUGUUGCCCUUGGAAGUUCAAACCGGUAGCCUGGAUAGCCUCUCCAACCCACCUCCGGCCAAAUCACAUAUCUUUUCUUGAGUUUGUUCACGAGGUUGGCCUUGAGCUUUGGUGAGCGAUAGACUGUGCCCUUCAAGCGCUCUAAAGCCGCUUCACGAUGUACCGAGUUGGUGCAAAAAGAUCCAUUGCGAACAUAGCCCUUUGAACACAGAUGCGGGAUCUCUAAGCUUCUCUACAUCCUCUGCGUACCUGUUCUUGAUGCCAGCAUUAUCAGGCCAGAUAACUGGAAGCCGCACCAGGCAGUAUACAACUCGUUCAAGUAUGUGGAUCGCGUGCUAGCGUGGGUAAAGCCGCGAGUGUUACAUAUCCUUGCACUCCAGGUCACUGUUAGUCCGGAAACACACAGGAAAACAGAUGGUAUACUGGACAUUGCGUGGUGCACACUGUGUACAUCUGCCCAGCCCCGACCAAGAGCACAGCUGUUUCACACAGUGCAGAGGAAGGGAAAGUAGCGUACACGACGCAUGAGCUUGAGCUGGGCCAGUGCUUUACCAACCUUGGACAGGAUGAAAUAGGAACUGGUAAGGAAAUUAGAAGUAUGUGCCAGUGGGGCUAUCAAGCUAGUCUUAAAGACCCUUCCCCAUGAGAAGCAGAAACUCUUGAAAAAGGCCAAGGAACAACCCAGCGGAGCCAGGGCAUGGCUGGAAAACGAGUGCCGUACCGAGGCAAGUAUGGUAUUCGGGAUCCUUCUCAGAAACAAUACCCAAAUGUGCAUUCCCUCCUCGAGGCAAUGACCGUCUAGUUUUGAUACUUGAAUCAUUGUUUGAGCCACUAUUGCAGUGUUGGUGUGCGUAGAUUUUUUAAUUUUAUUUUGGACCUUCUCACGUACUGGUGUGAAAACUUGGUUUUGUGUUACUUCAUCACUUUGUGGGAUGUUGUUCGUCAGCAACUUGAGGAACUUUGUUGUUAUUCAGUCUGGUGUAUUGUCGAACUUUGAUGUCGUCAGCAAGACAAUUGCAUACGCAAAAACAAAGUUGAUGGAACAUCAAGCAAACUCAAUCAAACGCUAGGUCGCUUUUUGCUCCGUUGUUUACUAAGAGGUUACUGAUCAUUCUUGUGUGGGAGAGCCGUGGUCAAACUUUAGGGCCAUUUGAUGGACAGCGAGAAGAAGGUGUGUGUCACUGGCGCUUCUGGUUUCCUGGCAUCUUGGCUCGUGAAGCGGCUACUGGAGGAGGGAUAUUACGUCGUCGGGACUGUGCGCGAUCCAGGUACAUAGAAACGAGACGAAACCCCCCUCAUUCUCUUGUUUGUGAUAUAGACGAUGCGAGCAAGACUUCCCACCUGUGGGAGCUUCCGGGGGCGAGAGAGAGGAUUGUGCUCAAGAAGGCCGACCUUAUCACGCCAGGCACCUUUGACGAUAUUGUCCAAGGCUGCCAUGGAGUUUUCCAUAUCGCGGCUGCCGUGACUAACCGGUACAAGGAGGAUCCACUGGUAACUUCGCUUGACUCCAUCGAUUCAACAGCUCUCUGGCAGCUUCGGUCUAGUCUUGUAUCUCGAACUUUUACUGUCUCUUUUUUCUUGUUCUUUGGUUCUUCUUCCAGACCG
rnacentral:lncRNA from 1 species